rnacentral:lncRNA from 1 species
UGGUGGCCUCUGACUAAGGUGCGAUACCUUUACCUCGGUCGUUCGCCGGCUCGCUCGGUCCCGGCUCUGUGGAAAUAGUGGGGUGAGAACUACAACAAAGUUCCCAGUGGGUUCGGCCUCAACAUCACCGACUUUCCCACUAGGACUAACUCAGGUAUAAUAGAAAGGAUAAGCUAAAAUAUAGUAACCAAUCUACAACAUGAUGCUAAUAUGCCUGAACAAAAGCAAGGAAUAUGCUGAACAUUAACAUAUGCAGAUUAUGCAAGUUCUUUCGUUCUUUAUCUUCACACUUUGUUCUUUGUUCUUUGCUCUUUGUUCUUUAUUCUUUAAUCUCAAGGCUAACUCGGGGGUUUCGCCACAUUAACUUGCUUCACAUUAAGUCCAUCAUCGCAGAAACUCACCCGCUAGGACCGUCCUUCGGGUUUACUCCAACCCGUGAUGCAUAACUCCGGAGCGCAUCGCCCAAGGGGGAGCGACCGCCCUCGAGCACGGAACUCAUAGCAAGUAUGAUCAUAUCCUUAACUCAAAGGAUUUAUAAGUUCAAUCUUGACUUUACACUAGCUCUACUGUUCAUUACAUCACUUUAUGUUGCUAACUCUAGCAAUCGUUAUUCUUUACUUUUCUUUUACUCUUGCCAUCCUUAGCAUUCUUAUUCUUUACAUUUCUUGUUCUUAUUGCCCCACUUCACUUUAACUUUAUACAUUGUCAUUUUCAUCAUUCUUUACAUCACUUUGGUUCUUUGGCUCACACUAACUCUAGUGUCACUUUACUUUACGUUUUCAAAUGCCACUCGAUCUAUGUCAUUGUGCCACUCAGUUCUUUUGGCUCACUUUAGCACUCACAUUUUUCUCUCAUGCAUACAUAUAGGGUUCUAACAUUCAUAAGGUUCUCAUUCAUCACAUUAUGCAGGUUGUACUCACAAUCAUGCAACAUUAUAUUUUCAUCAUCACUUUACCCUAAAAUGCAUGCAACAACAUAUAUAUAUAUAUGCUCAAAUGAAUGACACAUUAGGCAUAGAGAGAAGUUCAACGAGUUUGAGAAGCACCACCCACCUCGUAGGCUUUCAAAGGUGCUCCGAUGAUUUUCUUGGGAUUUUUAGACCCUUCGUUCUUUACCUGCGACAUAACGAACCCUUAUUAGGCCAUUUUGCCCAUAACUUUUGAUUGUCCUUUCGUAUACUUCAACGGAGCGCACCAACGCGUUCGUUGGGUCCCCAAUUAGGUUUUUAGAGGGUCAAUUGCACUUAGAAAUCCUCAUGAGCAAAAGCCCCAAUUUGGUGCCCUAGCUCCAACACAUAUCUCAAACCUAGGGUUUGAUCUCAAAGAGAAGCAAAAGUAGCUUCACUAUACUCUAAAUAGUCCAUUAGAACCAUUCUUAGGCUUUCCAAAACCCUAAGAAUGGUUUUGAUCUUUAAAUAAGCAAAAAGAAAGCUUACCUUGUAAGAAUGGUUUUAUAUCUCAAACGUAGCACUCACAUUUUUCUCACCUUGAGCUCAACCAUGGUUUUGAUCUUUAAAGAAGCAAAAAGAAAGCUUCAAACUACUAGAUAUUCCAUUAGAAACCAUUUCUAGGUUCAUUCAAACCCAUUUCUAGGGUUUUACUACAUUAGGGUUCAAAGCUUACCUUGUAAGCUUCCUUUUCUUGCACUAGAGAAGAAGGAGAUGGAGCCUCUUUGCUCCAAAAGCUUCUUCUUCACCUUCUUUUUCUUCUUUUCCUUUCUUUUCCUUUGCCUUCUUCUUCUCCUUCUUUGUAUUCUAGAGAGAGAAAGAGAGGAGAGAGUGUGAGAGGGAAAAAAUGAGAGAAAAUCUCAUUAGGCCCCAUAACAUAGCCAUUGGGUUGCCAAAAUGCAAAUAAACCCCUCAAUUUUCACCUUAAUACACUGCCCGAACUAGGCAGUUCGCGCAGGCGGGGUCCGGUCUCUCCUUUAGGGACCGGUUCCCGAACGUCGUCCCAGCGCAGCCAGAGCUGCUGCGCGCAGUGCAACCAGUCUCUCCUUGCGGGACCGGUCUCUCGGGGACCGGUCUCUCAGGUAGGGACCGGUUCCCGAGAGCUAGUUUCUCAGGACUUAGCCGAUUUUUCGGCUGUCUCAUUUCAUACCCGUUCGGGGACCGGUCUCUCCCACCAGGGACCGGUCCCCGAGAGUUCAAAAUCUGCAGCUUUGCAGAUUUGAUUCUAUAGCUCUCGAAAACCUCCCAUAACUCACUUUUACUCAUUUUAACACCUUCGGACUUUCCGAAGUGUACCGUCUUCGCACUUUGGUCAAUUUGACUAAAGUUCGACAUUUAUUUUUCGAAUUUUCGGUAUAUUACAGAUAGCCUAUAUUUCCACUCCACCUUCUCUUUCCCUCAUUUCUCUUCUCUCAACUCUCCCUACACCUUAGAUAGAAAAGGAGAAGAAGAAGGAGGAUGAGAAAAAGGAAGGAAGGAGAAGAAGUAGACCAACAAGACGACUUGGAGCAUCCUUCUCUCCCUCUCUUCUCCCCUUGGGUGCUUGAAGGCUUGGACUUGGAGCUUGCUAAAGAGGAGAUCUUCACUCUCGGAGCUUGGAUUGGAGCUUCUAAAGAGUUUGGUUGCUUGUUUCUCCCCUCUAGACCUAGUUUUGAUGGUUUUUGGGAGGUGGAACCCUAGAAUGGAAAAUCUAGGGUUUAUUUGGGGCUUUUUGAUUAGAGGCUUUUUGAGAUAAUCUAAUUGGAUUAGAACCUUGGUUUAGGUUGCUUUGGAAGGGAUCUAGCUUCCAUUUGAGUUUUGGAAAGGGAUUUUUACACUAUAGGUGAGAUUUUGGCCCUUUUCCUUAGUAGAUUAAUGUUUGAGCUUGUAGUUGAUCGUAAGGUUCGUUUAACCUUUGUUCUUGUGCCUCUAGGGUACUAAGAGACUAGAGGACACCUUCGUUGGAGCUUACGAAGGGUUUCGAGAUGGUUCGGUGGGUUUGACCUAGCCUAGUAUAUGAGAAAUCCUCAUAUCCUAUGUUUUAUGCUUCGUAAAGUAGAAAUUCAUACAUUUUCAUGAUAAAUGUAAUUCUUGUGAAUUUUAGAAUGCUUAACAUCCCUACGUCAUGUAUAAUGAAUUUCGGACUUCUAUAUAGUAGAGGGAGAGUUGCAUGUGAAGCUUGCACUAGCAUUGGGCAUUCUUAUGUUGGACUCGGGACCAUAUUUCUUACAAUAAAAUUGAGUAUUGCUUCAUGCAUUUUAACCUAUACCUAAUUGAGACAUAAGGGACUUUAAUAAGCUUUAAGGGGCUUGGGGACUUGUACCACUUGAGAGUGAUUGGGCUAAUAUCAUAAAGGGGCAUUGAGCUCGGGUUAAAUGAGAAUCUAGUACUAAUGUCAUAAAUGGAACAUAGAUUAUGAAAUGUGUUAACUUAUAACAAGCUUAAGUGUCAUAAAGAGGCACUAAGCAUAGGGAGUGUUGGAACAUCACUUUGAGACAUUGAACUAGAUCUUUGAGAUGCUAGUGACUUUACCAUGUUAGAGACAUGAUGAUUGAAUUUUUGAGACGUUAAUUACGCUUGCUUGCCAUUUGUGCUCAUUCGCACAUGCUUGUGAGGGUCGCUCCCUACAAGCCGGCACUCCGGAGUUGGCCUACGCGACUUAUGCUCGCUCGUACGGUAUCGAGAAACCUACGGGGUCGGGAGGGAUAGACUCAUUCCUAGAGUGGGAAUGCUGGAGCUACCACCGACACUUAGGUGGCACAAGCUGGACUAUACUAUGUAGGUUCUAGAACAUGUUGGAAACAACGACAUUGAACGGAAAAUAAAAAUCACUAUUAGAUAGGUUUUGUAGUUGGAUUACUUUAACAUGCUUAAAGCAUAGUGUUAGGACAUGUAGUAUGCCAACAUGUAGUAUGCUUGACAGUUUAUUUGUUGCAUCAUAGUAUACUUGGUUGCUAUGAUAGAUCAUAAUCAUCAUGCAUUGAUAGAACGGAUCAUAAUAUUUACUUGUUGCCAUGUCGGGACAUUGUUUUAUGCAUUGGACAUACUUCAUUAUGAAAGAGUAAAUGUACAAUACAUUGACAUCGUAAUGCUUAUGGUAUAGUAAUUUUAGUGAACAUACAUGCUUUCCUCCCGCGGUUAUCAUUAUUAUUAUUGUUGCUUAUCGUACUUACCCUUUUCUUUUGGGGCCUAGUGGUGCAUUGAGCUGAGGUCAGUAAUUGCCCACUAGGAACUAUAAAUUAUAUUUCUCACGCCCUUUGUUUUAUGUUUUUAUUUUCAGAGCUUUCCACUCCGGGCGAGGCUAGGGACCGCGGAAAGGGUAUCGCCUCGAGCUAGCUAGCUGUCGAGGACGCGUUGAUAGGUGGUCUACCUCUCGUCGUUUCUUUUUGGAGAGGUAGAGAGUUGUACCAUGUAUAGAGACCACCCAUUUUUUUUGGUGUACUUCAGGAAAUGGUUAUUGUAUUACUUUAUAUUUACUUUAGUUGAGUAGUUCUCUUCUUCUACUGCUGUUGCUAGUAUUAGUGGUUAUACUUGCUCUGAUAUCACUAGUUAUUGUUCCUCCUUUUCUUCAUAUUCCUUGUUUUGUUUCCGCCCUUUAUAUGUGUAGACAUAUGGCGGGUCUGGGCGCGCUACUGGGAGGGCCUCCGCCAGUCCCGGGGCGUGACACUGAGGGCCCGAUGGGUUAGCCACAAGAUUUUGUAAAGAAAAUGUAAACUUGCAUUCAUCAUGAGCAUCUCAUUGAGCAUAUGAUUGAGUUUAUUAUUCAGGCAUAUUAGCUGCAUUUGUUAGUUGGUUACUAUCUAUUUUUUCUUUUAUUAUGCCUGAUUUAGACCUAGUGGAAAAGUCGGCAAGAUCGGGGCCGAACCCACUAGGAACUUUGUUGUAAUUCUCACCCCACUAUUUCCACAAAGCCGGGGCCGAGCGAUCCGGCGGACGAUCGCGAUAAGGGUAUCGCACCCUAGACAGUGACCGCCCGAGAUACUUUCACAUUUUGUAGUUGCAUACCCCUUUUAUAUCAUCUUUUGUAUUUGAUGAUUUUAGUUGUAUCAAAGACAUUUGAAUGAAUGAUGUAAAGGAUUACAAUUUAAAUGCAAAUGGUUGUGUUUUGAGGAAUAUGUGAUUUAUAAAAGAAAUGAUGCAAAGUAGUAAAAGAAUUUGGUAAAAGUAGUAUGCAUGUAUAUGAUUUAAAGUUAAUCAUAGUACUUGUAUGUUGAAUAAUUAGUUCUUUCACUUUAGCUAUUGCUUGCCCUCAUGCAAGCCACGGUGUAUGCUUCCGUUUUGUACAAAAUUCAUACUCUAUUUGUACAGGAUGUUGAGCCUUGGGCGGACAGGGGAGACUUUGUCCGUUCGGCGUCUGUUCGACGCCCUCGAGCCGGCCAAAAGGAUCGGGCUCGGGGCGUGACAUAGAGGACCUUGUGAAUGAGGUUAGAAGUACGGAGUUGGUGUCCUCGACUCUAAUAAUCAUUGGCAAGAUAGUGGCUUUGUCGCCGCUUUGGCCGCAAUCAUCUAACAUGAAGAGUCGCAGACUGCACAGCCAUGUGCAACACAGACACAAGGAUAAAUCUGACUUUUGUUUGCAGUUCUUAUAUUUUGUGAAAAUUAGGCACUGCAAUAGGAUAUCUAAUGCGCAUUGUCCUCUCAAAGAGGUAUUUUCUCGACUUUACGGAUCAAAGAUGAAUUAAUCAGAGUAAGAGGAUCAAAAUCUGCGAAUAGCAUAUGAAUUAGAUAGAUUGAGGAACAGAGAGCUGAAGGAAAAGUGUCACGCCCCGGGGCCGAUUUUAAAAGCCAUUUUGAAAACAGAGUUGCGGAAGACGUGCCUUUUUUUUUUUUCAACCUGGCCCAUGCGAUGUACAGAUCCGCCACAAAUACAAGGUUCCUCGGUCCACUCGGACAGAGUCUCCUUUGUAUUUGCACGGCGUACCAACGAUACAACAGGAUCUCAACUACAAUCUACAAUUACCAAUCAACAACCAAUUCAUGAUAUGCAUUUUCAUACAGCUAACAAUCCCUAGAGAUGAUGCAUGCCUCUAAGCACUCCUUAGGUGCUAGAUGAUGCCAUGCACAGUACAACAAUCAUCCUAUUUAAAAGUGCUCCCCACCCGGAAGCUAGCGAUCCUUAGAUAUGAUGCAUGCCUCUAAGCACUCCUUAGGCACUGGAUGAUGCAAUGCACAGUACAACAAUCAUCCUAUUUAAAAGUGCUCCCCACACAGAAGCUUUUAUUUUUAAAAUCUAAUUCAUUCAUUCAUGAAAACUAUUCGAAAAUCUUUUGAAAAUUGUUUCCCACACGGAAACUAUAUUUUGAAAACCAGCUACCUCGAGGGGUACAAGGACCAAAAACCAUAAAACUAGAACCAUAAAUCUAUAAACCCCAAUCUCAGAUCCACAAUCACAAGCAUAAAUAAUGAAAACAUCCACAACUAAAACCAGUUCACAACAUUCAAGCAAUCAGAGGAUUAUCUAACUGAACAAUUUAUUUAAACUACUAAAAGCAGGAAUGAAAUAACCAGGGUGAUGGUCGCUACACCAGACUAGCUAGAUCGUCUUCUCGUCGAGCCCAAGUACCAACUCCAAGCUCGAAUCACCUGGGGAAAUGGGGGGUGAGAAACCGUAACCAUGAUUUUCCAGUGGGUACGGCAGAGCCACGAAGGCAAGUCGUAAUCACCGGAAACCAAAGGAGAUAGAUAAACAAGUAUAUAUAUGCUGAUAUGAAACAGAACUACAGAUAUGAAUAUGAUGUGAUAUAAGAGCAACUACAGUAGUAAUAGAAACGGGAUAAUAACUGAGCAAGAAUGAAACUACUACUGUAACAAAAAACUCAACUGAUCAGAUGCCUCAAAGGUGAAUAGUCCAAAACCAAACCUAAUCUGAUACUACUAUAUUGGUCCGCAGACCUCAAGCGUUGCCUGUCACAGAGCAGACACUGCGAGCUUAUUCAUGCGUCACCGACGACCUAUCCGGAUACGUACACCCCUUGGAUGGUGGCCAAACCAACCUGGUGUCUAGAAUACACAGUGCUGUGACUAAAUCAUGCUGGUAUGCUCAAAACAAAAAUCGACAAAAAGAGACCGGUACCAUGGCCGAAGCCAGUGCAAGGGCGUACAACGAACCACGAUCAACCAGAUCGAAACACAUGACAAGAGAGUCGAUGUGUUGCCUGGACCCAAGGUCCACAGAGAUGCAAUAUACGAAUGCAAGCCUGCUCUACAUGUCUAUCCACAACUAUACAAAUGCAAUCAAUGGAAUACGAUAAGCAACGAUAAACAAACAACUGACAUGUAGAGACUACGAUACUGAAUGAAAGAAUAGAGGAAGGGAGAAACGAUCUCACCGACUACUAGCUCGAAGCACCCACCUGACACUGUCGCGUCGAAACACUGGGUACGCACAAGUCAACCGAACCUACGAAGAUCCAACAGGUCAGUAACAAACCAACUCACCUGAAGUAUACUAUCUUACAAACCCCCACACAGAUCCCCGAAUCGGUUUCCCAAAACCGAUCAUCGUAACUAACCGGAAGUCCCAAAAAUCACACCGGGACGCCGUCGGGACCCACUGAGUGUCCCGAAACUCACCGACUCGUGCCACGAGUCACCUGCUGCCCCUAAACACUCCGAUUUGGAUGGUUUGGCAGCAAACACAAGAUAACACCACUACACAAUUAUCGUCGGAUAAUUGUACGAAUUCGGGUUUCCGAAAGUGUCUAUUUCGACACCGGAACCCACCGUCGCUCACCCAUCAUCACCGAACCCACAAAAUGAUAAUGGUGACGAGCCAACAAGGCUCAGCGAUAAUUUACAGGAUAACCAAACCUCGUUGGAAGAAAUCCGAACUGAAAUCGUGUUCUUUCGGCAAAUUUUGCCGAAAAACGCACCGGAAUCGACUUUUUGAUAUCCGCAAAAGCUAUUAGAUCAUGGACAAUUAGUCCGAAGGUCACCAUACACACCAACGCACUGCCCACAGUAGCCACAAGGUGUACAAAUGCAUAAAAGUCCCUAUGUUUACAUAAAAUCCAUCAUUUUAUGUAAAUCGGGCGACUUCUAUGACUCGUUCUCACAAACCGAGGACUUCUAAGUUCCACCGAGACACGUACUGACAGGUCUCGACGUACCGGAGGCCGUGCUCAUGGUCUGGAGCGCAACAGCUCACUGUGGGAAGCGCGGGAGCAGCCUGAAAAUUCUGUGAACAGCCUGCAGUCGGGGAAAAACGCACCAAGCAGAACGAUACGACAUCCGCUGAUCCAAAAUAAGGUGAGCACUGUGAUCAGCACUGAUUCACAAUCACCGUGCUCACCUCCAGAGGCAUCAGAAUAGCCUCGGAUCACCGGCAAAGUGCGUUCAAACCCGCAACAGCAGCCAAAAAGGCUCUAUAGGGUCGACAAUGCCGAAAUAGCGGAACGGAUUCUCCCCGACAGAAACUAAGGUGAGCACGAUGAUCAGCAAUUUGCCACGAUCAUCGUGCUCCCUUCCGUAGAGAUCGGGGAGGCUCGGAAAGCUCGGAACAGCAAACCGCCAAGGAAUAGCCCUAUUUCGGGCUUGGCCGGAGCAAGCUUGCUCCGGCCAGCUUCCGGCAUCACGGUGUGGUGCCCGCAGGCCAGGAAUGGAUGCGGGGGAGGUGAGGAGUGUGGUGCUCACCUCAGUUGGCGGCGAGGAGCGGCGGCGGCGACAGUGGAGAGACUUGAGCCCGCACGUGCAAGGCCUCGGGUUCCAAAGUAGCUGCGGCCACGGCGGCGGUCGGGGCACUCAGGGACGGCGGCAGAGGGUCGUCUGAGGUCAACGGAAGGCGGCAUGGGUAGUUUCGGGCGGCGGCGACGCGAGGGAGUGCUCGCAAAGUUGUCUCGGCCCGAACAGAUCAGGGGCGGCCGCGGGUUGGCCGAGACGGCGGCGACGACCCGCAGAGGCGGCGGCAACCGGCUAGGAAGGUCGGUGAGGCCCAAGGGAAGGCCGCGGGAGCGACCCCAAGUGGCUGCGGCGCGGAGAAGAGGCCACAUAGUCAGCUUGGUCUGGGCUCGGCCAAGCCGGACGCAGGAUGUAGCAGCGGCAGCAGCCGCGCGCAGAGGCGACGGCGGUCGGCGGGGAGGCUCGCCACGGCACGGGGGCGAUGCCGGCAAGGUGCAGGGAGGCAAUGCAGCCUCAGCCAAGGCUCCAACCCAAGAAGACCAGAGGGGUGGAGAGAGAAAUGGAGAGGGAGGGAUGGAGAGGAAGGCUGCGGUUGCUGCUGGCCGGCCGGGGCUAGGUCGGCGGCUGCCGGGAGUGGCGCAGCAAGGGCAGGGCAACCAAGGGAGGCGACUGGGCGUUUAGCUCGGGCUAGGGUUAGGGUUUUCAUAGUGAAAACCCUAAAACAAGCAUAUAUACAAGGUACAAUUUGCGAGUUAGCCCACCAAACCUCAGUAUUUAGUACUGAGUCCCUCACAGCGCGUGUACAACGCAAGAAUACCCCUCUACGUGCGAUCUCAUACAAAUGGUACAUAAAAUGUCGCGACUUUUGCGAAAAUACAGUUUUGCGAUCACCGACCUCUCCUCGAUCAACGCGCAAUCUCCGUAGAUCCGUCCGUCAGAUUUGCAAACGGAUCACGCCAGUGCGAUCAGCACGACGGAGACAAUAAAGCUAGGAUUUUGUUUCACCUUAUCGAUCACGGAUUUGCGACGAAAUCCGCUUUCUCUCCAAAAGGCCAAGAUGACGCACAAAUACAUAUAAAACACGUAUUUUUGGAUUUCCUCGAAAUCCAUACAUGAAACUCAAAAUCCGCCAGCGCCAUUAGUCCCAGAACAGCUGAACCGGUCGAAACGAGCUAUUGGAUCGCUAUGAACGGAGUCCGAUACGAGCCUGAAGCCAACUCUACGCAUUGAGUUUUCCGGAAAAUCAAGUUACUAUUCACUUUAAGUGAAAUUGGAAAUCACGUAGAAUCUCCGUUCUAACUUGUUUUCUCUCAAAACUUGACGAGUGCUUUUGUAAUUAAAUUACACACAAAAACAUCAUCAACAGAGAGUUUAACUAUACUGUCUCGCUCAUACUCUCCUACGGUACGGUUGCCUUGCUUGAGGCGUUCUAGCUCGCGCUCCAGACUCUGCUUGGUGCUGUCCAUGAAGUACUACUCGUAAAGGAGUCUCCGGAACUCCUCCCAGCUUGGAUAGAUGCUCCCAAGUUUGCGCUCGAAGUGCCUGAUCCACCACGAAUAUGCAUCCUUCUCAAGACAGUGAGCAGCUAGAGGGACGCGAUCCAGCUCCUCGAUGUGUAGAUCAUGAAACAGUUUCUCCAUAUGAGUAACCCAAUGCUCGAUCACCGAGGCGUCGUCGCUCUUUCCUGCAAACUUCGGCGGAUCGAACUUUCGAAACUCCACCAGCUUCGCCCAUAUGCGGGUGCCUUCCGCUGCAGGGGUAUCAGCACCCCCAGCGGGAACCGUCGUGGUGGCCGUCGUCGUCGUAGUAGUGACAGCUGGAGGUACGGCAGGCGCAUGCGUCGCGGGAGGAUCCGCGUUCACCGAAGUGUCCUGUGCCGAAGGUGGGACCGGGGUAGCAGUAGCCGCAGCCUGUUGCUGCAAGAACUGCUGGAACAAACCAGAGAGGGUCAUGAGCUGACCCCUCAAAUCAGCUACCUGGGCCUCGAGCUGCUGGGCGCGAGUACCACGCAGCGGCUCCGUGCCCGACUGCUCCCCAACACCCCCACUCGUAGGAACACGAGUACUACCCGAUGCCUUUGCACCAGCACAUCCACCAUCACGACCCGGACGAGGGGGUCUACCACGAGCCAUCUGCAAGAGAAAACACCGUCAAGCGAACCAAUCGACUCGACAAACAAACUCACCUGGACUCAAACCCCAUACACCGCACUCGCGUGCCUAUAUGCCUUAGGUCUUCCUAUGGGUCAACCUAAUCAAUGGUUCAGUUAGAAACUUGUAAAUGUAGUUGUAGUUGUUUCACUCUCUAAUACCAUCUUAAUCUGUUACACCCCAGGGCCGAUUUUAAAAGCCAUUUUGAAAACAGAGUUGCGGAAGACGUGCCUCUUUUUUUUUUCAACCUAGCCCAGGCGAUGUACAGAUCCGCCACAAAUACAAAGUUUCUCCGUCCACUCGGACAGAGUCUUCUUUGUAUUUGCACGGCGUACCAACGAUACAACAUGAUCUCAACUACAAUCUACAAUUACCAAUAACAACCAAUUCAUGAUAUGCAUUUUCAUAUAGCUAACAAUCCUUAGAGAUGAUGCAUGCCUCUAAGCACUCCUUAGGCGCUGGAUGAUGCCAUGCAUAGUAUAACAAUCAUCCUAUUUAAAAGUGCUCCACACCCGGAAACUUUAUUUUUAAAAUCUAAUUCAUUCAUUCAUGAAAACCAUUCGAAAACCUUUUGAAAGCUGUUUCCCACACGGAAACUCUAUUUUGAAAACUAGCUACCUUGAGGGGUAGAAAUCCAUGAUGUAUAAAUCCGUAAAAUACGCAAAUCCAAGGACCAAAAACCAUAAAACUAGAACCAUGAAUCUAUAAACUCCAAUCUCAGAUCCACAAUCACAAGCAUAAAUAACGAAAACAUUCACAACUAAUACCAGUUCACAACAUUCAAGCAAUCAGAGGAUUAUCUAAUUGAACAAUUUAUUUAAACUACUAAAAGCAGGAAUGAAAUAACCAGGGUGAUGGUCGCUAUACCAGACUAGCUAGAUCGUCCUCUCGUCGAGCCCAUGUACCAACUCCAAGCACGAAUCACCUGGGGAAAUGGGGGGUGAGAAACCGCAACCAUGGUUUUCCCAGUGGGUACGACAGAGCCACGAAGGCAAGCCGUAAUCACCGAAAACCAAAGGAGAUAGAUAAACAAGUAUAUAUAUGCUGAUAUGAAACAGAACUACAGAUAUGAAUAUCAUGUGAUAUACGAGCAACUACAGUAGUAAUAGAAACGGGAUAAUAACUGAGCAAGAAUGAAACUACUAUUGUAACCAAAAACUCAACUGAUCAGAUGCCUCAAAGGUGAAUAGUCCAAAACCAAACCCAAUCUGAUACUGCUAUAUUGGUCCGCAGACCUCAAGCGUUGCCUGUCACAGAGCAGACACUGUGACUUAUUCAUGCGUCACCGACGACCUAUCCGGAUACGUACACCCCUUGGAUGGUGGCCAAACCAACCUGGUGUCUAGAAUACACAGUGCUGUGACUNUCACACAGGAAACAGCUAUGACCAUGAUUACGCCAAGCUAUUUAGGUGACACUAUAGAAUACUCAAGCUUUUAGUUGUUCCAAAACCAGCUUUUCCUACCAAUAUAUUGAAAAGAAUGCAUCAACGAACACAAAAAGGACAGAACAAAUUAAAUCGAAGUUGAAAAGAUAAUAUAGCUUGCAAUCUAUUCCUCCUGCCCAUCCCUAAGUUCAUUAUCUUAUUGACCUCUUCCAUUGUGGUGCCUAAGAACUCAUCUCCUCGUGGCUUCUUGGAGGGCACACCCCUCCAGCAACAAACAGCACCAACAACCAUUUAGGGGGAAAGAGAGAGAGAAAGAGAGAGAGGGGGAGAGAAAGAGGGAAGGGGAAGAGGGAGAGAGGGGGAGAGAGAGAGAGCCGCGCCGCGACCCGCGCCAGCGCUCGCUCGAGCCGCCCACUCACGCUGCGCUUGUCCGUGGGGGGGAGAGGGAGAGGGAGAGAGGGGGAGAGAGAGAGAGAGUUGCGCCUGCGCCCGCUCGAGCCGCCAGCCCGCGCCGCGCGCCCACGCCGUGCCUGCGAAUGCUACCAUGUGCGCGCGACCCGCACACGCCCGUGCUGCCACGUGCGCACGACCCACGCCCAGCGCCCGCUCGCGCCUCUGUCACGCCCCGGGACCCGGCAUAGGUUCGCCCGCUGCGUGCCCAGACCCGCCAUAUGCCUGCACAUAUAAGGCGUCUACAAAAAAAGAGAUAUGAAAGUAAGAAGAAAUAAAGUCACUAGAGAUAUCAGAGCUACUAACAACAAGUAGAGAAAGGGGGAAAGUAAACUACUAAACAUAAAGAUAAAGUUAGUACAAAAGUCAUCACAAAAGUACUACAAAAAGGGUGGUCUCUAUGCAAGGUACAACUCUCAUCUUCUCCCAAAAGAAAAUAAAGAAGAAGUGGGCCACCUAUCGAACGUCCCUCGCUCACAAGCUAGUUCGUGGCGAUUCCCUUUGCGCGGUCCCUAGCCUCGCCUGGAGUGGAAGGCUCUGAAAUAAAAACAAGAAACAGAGGGCGUGAGAACUAUAAUUUAUAGUUCCCAGUGGGCAAUUACUGACCUCAGCACUAAGCACCACUAGGCCCCAAAAGAAAAGGGUAAGUACGAAAACCGCAAAUAAAAAUAAAUAGAUUGCAUUAGUGAAAGCAUAAAUAAAAUGCUGAAUUACUAUGUCGCAAGUAAACAUGAUGUCAAUGUGUUGUACAUCUACUCUAUCAAAAAUGAAGUACGUCAUAUCCCAACAUAACGAGCAAGUAGAUAUCAUAAUGUCACGCCCCGCCCUGAAAACACUACCAAUUUGGCAUGAUUCGGCCGCGGCGACAGACCGCCGAACGGACAGCACCUCCCUUGCUCGCCCAAGGCUCAACCACAGGAAUGUGUACAAGAAUUUACCCAGGACUUUAAAUUCUAAACAUACACAUUCAACGAGGGCACAAACAGUGCCAACAAUAAGAAGAGCAAGUAAUCCACAAGAUAUACGAGUGAAAUGAAGAGAGUACUUUACUAACUAUUACAAUAGUUACAUUCUUUACCUUUACAUCAUUUUCAAAAAUGAAUACAUUUGAUCCUCAAAAUACAUAGCUCUCCAACCUCACCUACAUGAAUCUCUCUCAAUACAUAGGUGUACUAAUGCAAAAGGGAAAGCUACUACACUACCACGGCCUCACUGAUCGGGCGCGAUGCCCUUGCCGCGGUCCUCUCUCUGCAGCCCUGAACCUACCACUGGAAAUAGAGUGGGGUGAGAACUAUCUUCCAUAGUUCCCAGUGGGCUCGGCCACCGACUCUGCCGAUCUCCCCACUAGGUCCAAGUGGGCACAAGUAACAACAAAUAGAUAGAUAGAUAUGUAUCUGAAAGCUGUAAAUGCAGUAGUAGGAAAACUAUGCUACUAUGCCCAUAAUCAUGAAUAUGAAUGCAUGCAUCAUAUAAUAAAGGUUUGCUACCAUGCUAACAAAUUCGAUCCAUGUUCGAAUAGUAAUGUUCAAUAUGUUCAAUGACAUUUAUUAACCUUUAACCUUUCAUUUACCCAAUCUGUGGCGAGGCCCUAGGGUGAACAACGAAAGUUGUGUACCAUAGUCAGUAGCUAGGUAUGGAUAGGGGGGCAUGGAAUACAUAUGAUGAGCUACAACAAUGGUUAAAGAGCCUAACAUAGCCAGGUUAAGAGAUAAUUGAGCAUGCCAUGACGUUGUUAGGAUUUCAUAUAGGCCCUUAUGGCCCUGGCCCAUAAAUGGACCUUUAUGAGCCUCUAAAAUGUCCUUAAGGCCAUGACCAAUGCCCCACGCCCAUAACUCAUCUUUCAAUCCCAAAGUGGGGAGGGAGCUCCAAGUGCACCCAAGCCCGGGACCGUCUGCGGACCUCCAUGUGGUCCGGACCUCCAAGUGGUCCUAGUCGCGCGACACUCCGGAGUACUCGACGACAAUCCCCUCCAUGUGGGGAUUGGAUGGCUAUGCCACCCUAAACGCAGACUGUGAGCUAGAUCUAUCCUCUCCAUGUGAGGAUACACUGUAACUAGGGUCAACACCCAAUCCAAUCCUCUCCAAGUGAGGAGGCUCUACAACUAGAGUCAAUAACCCAAUCGAAUCCUCUCCAAGUGAGGACGCCCUAUACUAGGGUCAACGACUAUCGCGGAAUCAUCGGUUCCCGACAUUCAUGCAAUGCUAUUUAGUUUUCUAAAUUCAUUGUUCACAAGGCAUUUUCUAAGGGAUCCACCUAUCCCUAGGUCCAUCGACCUCUAGUGUUAUUUACACUACAUUAAUGCCACUCGUUAUCAUUCAAUGUUUGGAUGCCACUCGUUUGUUCUUUAACAAUAACACUACUUUCUAUGUCAUCAAUACCCCCAUCGGGUUCAUCUCUUUUCUUUCGCACCAUAGGAUUCACGUCUCGACCCAAUCCUCACCUAUCUAAGUUACCAAGCGUUCCAAGUACACUAGGUUAUCAAUUAGAAAGCAUAAGGAAUGGAGCUACUAUGCAAUCCUACAAUGCAACAUGAAGAGAUGAGAUUAAAUGCAAUCUAAGACAUAGAAAGGAGUUCGAAAGUUUCGGAUGACACCCCCCACCUUUAAUCGAUGUAGAGGUUUCGGAAAUCUCUCUCGGCGAGCUCUACGAAAAGGCCUUAGCCUUCCUCGCCCGAAUCAACACUAGCCCGGCCCGAUUUUGCCGAGAACUUCACGUCGGUUCGCCGAAUGCCAAAAUCGACUUCGCCCCCGCGUUUUGGGACCUAUCAAUAGGGUUUCCAAGGCUUCAAAUGAGAUCAAUCUCAUACAUUUACAAAAACCUCAUUUUGGAACCCUAGAUUUGCACCUAUAGCAAAUCACCCCAUAAAUCCCUAGAUUCUUGGGAUUGAUCUAUUUAGAAGCUUGCUUAGGGUCCAUUUGACCCAUUCCAAGGCAUAAAACCCAAAAACCCUAAGUUCUAGAAGCUAGGGUUUAGUAGCUUACCUCAAGAGCUACUCCAAUGGGAAGAGGAGAGGGAGAUGGAGGUGCUCAAAGCCUUCCUCUUGAUCUCCUUCUUCUUCUCCUUCCUUAUCUUCCUCUUCUUUUCCUUCCUCUCCUUCUUGUUCUUCUUCUCCUUCUUUCCUUUCUAGAGAGAGAGAGAGCAAGAGAGAAAUGAGAGUGAGAGAGAGUGAAAUGAGAGAGUGUGAGGGAGAGAGAGGGCUCAGCCCACUCAAAUAAAGGCCAUUUUGCAUAAAAGCCCCUCAACUUUCACCCCUGUGCACUGCCCUUACUGGGCAGUUUUCGCGCGGAGGGACCGGUCUCCCCGACUUGGGACCGGUCCCCGAGAGCUUCCCUCGGGCGCACGCGUUCGGGAACCGGUCUCUCCCCGGGAGACCGGUCCUCGGGAGACCGGUCCUCACCUGAGAGACCGGUCCCCGAGAGCUUGAUUUUCAGGACUUAGCCAAUUUUUUGGCAUCUCUCGCUGGGACCACGUUCGGGAACCGGUCCCUCCCUGCCAGGGACCGGUUGCAUCACGCAACCCCGCUACACCCAGCCAGGGGAACCGGUCUCUCACCUGCAGAGACCGGUCCCCGAGAGCAACAUCAGCCCAAUGAUGCCAUUUGCCUCAUUUGCUCUCGCGGACUCAACUCCAAGGCACUUUUUGUGCUUUGGACAUUCCCAACUCCCACAAAGGGUAUACUCUCGACAAUUAGUCGAUCCUGGAUGGAGUACAAUUCUCGCAUUUCGAGAAUUCACUUCCUUACAUCCCCCCCUCCUUAAAAGGAGUUUCGUCCUCGAAACUAACUCAAUUCCUUAUUUUAAUUCAAAUCCGUACCGUACUCCUCAAAGAGAUGAGGAUGGUGUUUUCUUAUCAGAUCUUCGAGUUCCCAGGUGGCUUCGCGAUCAUCAUGAUUGCUCCACCUAACCUUCACAUAGGGGAUUUCUCGAUUCCUCAACUUCCGCACCUCUCGGGCGAUAAUCCCUACCGGAAACUCUUCAUAGCUCAAGUCUCCUCGAAGUUCCGGCGGUUCAUUAGCAUUGCGUGCUCGGGGUCGUGAAUGUACUUGCGGAGAUUGGAGACAUGGAACACAUUAUGUACAUCAGCAAGCUUCGGCGGUAGAGCAAGCCAGUAGGCCACCGAGUCGACUCGCUCUAAUAUCUCAUAUGGUCCAAUAUAUCGGGGACUUAGCUUUCCCCGCACUCCAAACCGCUUCACACCCCGCAUGGGUGAAACCUUCAAGAAUACGCGGUCACCCACUGUGAAUUCUAUAUCUCGACGGCGCCUAUCCGCAUAACUUUGCUGUCUUGACUGCGCCGUGAGCAAUCUCUUGCGAGCAAGGCGGACUUUCUCCUCCGCUUCUCGCAACACAUCCGGGCCGAACUCCGCACGCUCGCCAACAUCGCUCCAGUGUAUAGGAGAGCGACACGUCCGCCCAUAGAGAGCCUCGAACGGUGCCAUCUCCACACUAGCAUGAUAACUGUUGUUGUAGGCGAACUCGGCCAUGGGUAGAUGGUCGCACCAACUUCCCUUAUAGUCGAUGACACACGCUCAUAACAUAUCCUCCAGAGUUUGAAUUAUUCUCUCUGUUUGCCCAUCGGUCUGGGGAUGAAAUACGGUGCUAAAGUCAAGCCGUGUGCCAAGGGCUCCCUGCAGGCUCUUCCAAAAGUGUGAAGUGAACCGGGGGUCACGAUCCGACACGAUCGAUUUCGGCACCCCAUGCAGUCUCACUAUCUCGUUGAGAUAUACCUGCGCUAACUUGUCACCUGACCACGUGGUGUGGAUCGGCAAGAAAUAAGCCGACUUAGUUAAUCGGUCCACAAUUACCUAUAUUGCAUCGUGGCCGCCCGUUGAGCGAGGCAAGCCGACCACGAAGUCCAUCGAUAUAUCCUCCCAUUUCCAAACGGGGAUUGGUAGGCUUUGAAGCUUUCCCGCUGGAAAUCAACGCUCUGCUUUCACUUGUUGGCACGUUAAGCACUUCGCCACAAAGCGCCCAAUAUCACCCUUCAUUCCCGGCCACCAAUAAUGCAUUUUCAAUCCUCGAUACAUUUUGGUGCCCCUCGAGUGAUCAGCAUACGGAGAUCUGUGUGCUUCUUGUAAAAUCAAUUCGCGAAGCUCUCCAUCUUUCGGCACACACCAUCGGUUUCUAAACCGAAGCGCACCAUCGGCGUUUAUACUAAAAUCGCCGCCACGCCCUUCCUCGAUGUUUCGCCGCACCUUUUGGAGCUCUGGGUCUGCGGGUUGCAGAUCUUUAAUCCUCUCCAACAAGGUCGGUUGGACAACGAGUGCCAUCAGCUGAGUCGGGACCUCGGGAGCGACCACUUCAAGGUCCAACCGCUCCAUAUCCAGCCACAGAGGUGUUUGCUGGGUAACAUCAAAUGCGAGGUUCUUCGCUGACUUCCUACUUAGUGCGUUCGCGACCACAUGUGCCUUCCCGGGGUAGUAGAGGAUAUCGACAUCAUAAUCCUUUAACAGCUCCAACCACCGCCGCUGACGCAUAUUGAGCUCCUUCUGAGUAAACAAGUACUUUAAGCUCUUGUGGUCGGUAUAGAUCUCACAGUGGGCACCAUAUAAAUAGUGCCUCCACAGCUUUAAGGCGAAUAUCACCGCCGCUAGCUCCAAAUCAUGGAUGGGGUAGUUCUUCUCGUAGCUCUUCAGCUGACGGGAUGCGUAGGCAAUCACCUUCCCGUUUUGCAUCAACACACACCCCAACCCAAGAUAGGAGGCAUCACUAUAAACCACAAAGUCUUCGCCCUGCACCGGUAGAGCGAGCACCGGAGUCGAAGUCAAUCUUUGCUUCAACUCUUUGAAACUCCGGUCGCAUUCUUCGCUCCAAACGAACUUGGUGCCUUUCUGGGUUAGACGAGUAAGUGGAAUCACUAUCUUUGAAAAGCCUUCCACAAACCGCCUAUAGUAGCCCACUAAGCCCACGAAGCUUCGAACCUCCGUGACAUUCGUCGGGCGCGGCCAAUCCUUGAUUGCCUCAACUUUCCUCAGGUCUACAGAAAUUCCACCCGCGGAAAUUACAUGCCCUAGAAAUGCGACUUCUCGGAGCCAGAAGUCACACUUCUUCAACUUAGCAUAUAGCUUUUCCUCUCGAAGGACUUGAAGCACUAUCCUCAAAUGCUCGGCAUGUUCCUCGUCACUACGAGAGUAGACCAAUAUGUCGUCCAUAAAGACCACGACGAAUCGAUCCACGACGAAUCGAUCCAAAUACUUCUUGAAGACACGGUUCAUCAAGUCCAUAAACGCCGCUGGAGCGUUCGUGAGCCCAAAUGGCAUGACCGUGAAUUCGUAAUGUCCAUACCGCGUACGAAAUGCGGUCUUCUGCACCUCCUCCGGCUUGAUCUUCACUUGAUGGUAGCCGGAUUGCAAGUCUAUCUUCGAGUACACGCACGACCCUUGCAACUGAUCAAACAAGUCAUCGAUUCGGGGUAGUGGGUACUUGUUCUUGAUCGUGACUCUGUUCAAUUCUCGGUAGUCCACGCAGAGUCGAAACGAUCCGUCCUUCUUCCGUACAAACAACACCGGGGCUCCCCACGGUGACACACUUGGCCGGAUAAAUUGCUUGUCGAGGAGGUCUUGCAGUUGACUCCUCAACUCCUUUAAUUCUGCCGGCGCCAUGCGGCACGGGGCCUUCGAGAUCGGUGCAGUGCCGGGAAUCAAGUCUAUGACGAACUCGAUCUCCCGAUCCGGCGGUAUCCCCGGCAACUCCGCGGGAAACACAUCCGGGAACUCCCGCACUACCGCUAGCUCUUCCAAUGUUGGAGCUACUCGUUCCACUUCCACAACGGUUGCCAAAAAUGCUGCACAACCGUUGCUCACCAACUUUCUUGCCCUUGUCGCCGACACCGUCGCGACGAAGCACGAGCUCUGGCAAGCUUGAUAGGUGAAUUCUUCUUGUCCUGGCUCACAGAACGUGAUCACCCUGCUUUUGCAAUCGAUCGUUGCAUGAUACUUCGAAAGCCAAUCUAUGCCCAAUAUGACAUCGUACGCUUCUAGUUUCGUGAGCUCCAACGUCCGGAUUGGCAUAAUCCGUUCGCCUAUUUGCACCGAACACGAGGCGCACUCCGAGUAGGUAUUAAAUGUCGACCCAGGGCCCUCUACUCGCCACUUGUCACUCGCUUCUAUAUAUAUGCCAUGCAUGCGUGCGAAUGAUCUACUUAUGAAUGAAUGCGUGGCUCCUGUAUCAAAUAAACCCCUGGAGCGAACUCCGUUAAUUAAAACCAUACCUGCCACAAGGCGAUGCUCCUCCGCCUCUGCAAGCUCCUCAGCUUGGACCUGAGCGGCGAACACCCGUCCGCUCGGGGCCGAUCGCGCCACCUCAGGUGGACGCGACAUCGUCGCGCGUCCAGUCGACGCGGCCGUCGGUGGAGCUCCUCCAUAGUGAGCCGGAAUCACCGGUGCCGAUGCAGUCGAAGGGGCAGGUGAGGCUCCUCCCCCCGGGCAAUCUCAAAUGAAGUGUCCCGGCUGCCCACAUUUGUAGCACUUGCCUCGGCCUUGUUCACAGCGCGAGACCGGGUGGUCUUCGCCGCAUACAAUGCAUCGCCGCGCUCCACCGCCUUUCUGUUGAGUGCGCGGAUACUUCGGGGGUUUCUUAUAACGUGUUUGACCACCCGAACUACCGCCGCCUUGGCGUUUCUUGCCCUUGUCCUUGGACUCCGCCAAAAGCUCACGCUUCUCCCGAACGUGGGCGUCUCCAUGCUCUGCCCAUAGCGCUCGAUCAAAGACCUCAGCAAAGGUCGUGAGCUUAAGUAUUUACACAGCCUUGUAAAUUGUAACAUAUGGAAAACUUGAAGUUGCAAUGUCAACCUUGAUCUAGGGGAUCAAAGUGAGGAUUGAACUAGUUGGACAUCAUCCUCGAGUGAAUUGUGAUGCGUUGGAAUGACUUUCAGAGAUAAAUAAGUGUUUCGGCGCAAAUUGGGCGCGAAACGAAAUAUAAAGAGAAUUUUCGGAUUUCCGACGCUAACUUUGAUUAAAAGAAUUAAAGUAAGGCGUGAGGAUAAAUUGUGGUAUCUCCGAAUCAAUUGUGAAGCUUUGGAAAAGCCAAGGGUGUGUUUUCAAAGGAUUUUGAAGAGCUCAGUGCGAAGUGGUAGUGUAAAAAAGUAGAAAAUGCAAUAGGAGCUGAUUCUAUUGUUAAUUCGGCUCCAAUAAUGUCAAAAUGCAAAGGAAUUGCUUCCAAACUAAAUUAGUAGCUUGUGAAGAUCCCUUGGUAUAUUUUGGAAGUGUUUGGGUGAAAUCGGAGUGAAAACAGAAAAUGUAGACUUUUCUGUAAAGAACGGGACUGAGAAAAUUAGCAGAAAAUGCACAGUGUCAGAAAAUUAUGAAAAUUGGCAAAGAUGUCAGGAACAUUUUUAUGAGGCUAGAUUUGAAGUUUAAUAUUUUUUUGACACCUGUAGAGAGAGAAAUAGCAUAUGAAAGUUAUCUGAUAAAGCUUAUAGUUCGGGACAGUUCGCAGUGACCAAACGGGGUCGAAACUGAAAUGUUAAAAUUUCAGUGGACUUGUUAAGUAAAAAUGAACAUUCUUGUCAAAAUUGAGCUCAAUCGGACUGUCGGAAGGGCUAAACAUAUAUGAAAAUGAACGCGAGAGACAUGAGAAUGAAUAUAUAUAUGAACGGGAAAGCCAUAGUUAUGCUAAAUUCAUAUGUUCAUGAUAUAUAAAUGUUGAACUUGUAAAUAUCAUGUUAAAUCUGUAAAAGCCAAGGGCAUGUAAAUUGAAUAUGAAAUGUGAACCUAGAUGCUAUUGUCGACACUUAAAAGCGAAUAUUUGAGGCAUGUGCCCAAACAUAUGUGAAAAUGAAUAUAUUAUAGUUCAAGCUAUAUGAACGUCGAUAAUGAUUAGAAACCUCGAUGGCAAUAAGUAUAUAAUCUGUAAACCUCACGUGAAAUCCCUAAGUAUUGGGUAUAAAUCGACAACUCCAGUUGAGUAGAAAUCUAAACGGUAACGAGGUAAAUGAAAAUGUGCAGAUUAUAAACCUAGGCAUGGAGAACUAGGAUAUUGAACAGAUCGAGUGGCAUGAACCUAGAGUUAUUAAACAUAGGUUGGACAUGAAAUAAGCCUAGUGUUAUUGAACAUAGGUCGGACAUUAACCUAGUGUCAUUGGACCUAGGUCGAGUAUGUAAACCUAGAGUUGAGAUCUAGGAGAAAGUAUAUAAAACCUAGUGUAAGUGAACCUAGGUUAUGAUGUCAAGAACCAUUUAGUAAAAGUAAACUAAGUUAUGAAUUAUAGUGGCAAUAGGACCACUAGAAAGUGAAUAAUAUAGACCUAAGAAGGUCGUCAACAUAGGGUCAGUGAGUAAACCCUUAAGUUGUGAAAUGGAUUCCGGAAUCCUUAGGAAUGGUGUGAUGGCAGAAAUAGAAUCUUAACUACGGGAUUGACGGUUCUCCUCUCCCGGUAGUGAUUCAACGGGAUCGACGGUUCUCCUCUCCCGGUAUGCCAUGAAACAAGUGAAGUGAAUCGUAACUACGGGAUCGACGGUUCUCCUCUCCCGGUAGUGAUUCAACGGGAUUGACGGUUCUCCUCUCCCGGAGCUAACGGGUUUGACGGUUCUCCUCGCCCGUUGAGCUUGAGCGACUUAGGGUCACGGGGAUCGACGGUUCUCCUCUCCCUGUGAUGGACCUAGUGUCGCGUGGACUUAAGGCUGAGGUGUUGUGAGACGUCCUUCACCUCGAGCCUGACUUGACGCGGUACUCCGCGGUUGAUUGACUCAAGACCGAGUCGAGUGGCUAGAUGGCUAAGGUAAAGUAACCUUAGGAAAGAAUCGCCAGUGAGUACAAUAAGAAUAAAGAAUAAAGCAUAAAGAAAAGAAUAAGGAAAUAGCUAAUGAAUGAAACUAGCUAAGAAAGAAUAAAACAGCUACAAGUAAAGAAUGGCUAAUGAUAUAAAGUAGAAUCAAGUAAUCUACUUACAUGAAUUACAGGUAAUGCAUAUUGCAUAGCAGCGAGGCAAGGUAUGGUUUUAUUGAUCGCAUCGUUAAAUAUCUAUCUAUCUAUCUAUUGUUGAACUAACCUACUGUUUCCUCCUUUGGACCUGGUAGGUCGAGCUCUUCUCUUGGGUGGCCGUACCCACUGGGAACUAUAUUUAUAUAGUUCUCACCCCCGUGUUGUUUUGGGGGUACAGGUUGCACGCGAGCGGCGCGGCGGCGCGAGGACAGGGCGUAGUUCCGUAGAUAGCGCCCCACCACCGAGACCGAGAUAGCAAUACCUUGAAGAAGUUAAGUUCAGAGUUCAAAUUGAAAGAAACAAACUUGUAGUGAAAUUGUAUAAGUUUUGUAAUAACUUAAAGGUAUUUGGAAUUUUGUAAAUAUAAAAUGCUGAGAUGAAUGCUUGUAAUAGCAUAGUUAGCACUUUUUGUUUUUGAUACUUACGCAAUCUGUGGUUGAAUACAGUUUCUGUUUGGAACCUCUUGUAUUGCAUUGUAUAGAUUGUGACACCUAGAACGUACAGGGGAGGCUCUGUCCGUUCGGCGGUCUGUCGGCGUACCCGAAUCCGACCAAAUAGGCGGAGCUCGGGGCGUGACAGAUUAAAUGGUAUCAGAGCAUAAAAAGAGUAAUAGAAACGGUUUAGAUGGACCUAGGAGACCUAGGAUAGUAAACCGUAAGGACUUACGCUCGUGAGAGACGAGGACUUGUGACGUGUGGCGAAAGGUGAAUCGAUUGGGUCAAGUUUAGUAAACCUCUAAGACGGAUAUUAGAGGUAGAUUCAAGGUUCAGUUUAUUCUCAGCCAAGUGAGUUCAUGUUGGGUCGACACAACAUGAAACCGGGGGAUGGGAAUAAGCUUCCUUGCAUGACUUUCGCCCGAUUUGAGUCCGUAUUAAUCGUUUCGUAUUCGGCCUAGAGGGUCGAGGACUGACCGAGUUAUCGUGUCAGGUUUCUGGGAACGAUGGCACCGCGUAGGCGAUCUUCGACUAGAUCGGCGCGGGAUGGGACAAGUGGUGUCCCUGAGCGAACCGAGACGAGCGGAGACUUGGAGCUUCGCGAGCAAUUGGCCACACUCGUGGGAGUGGUCAGGCAACAAGUGGAUGUAGUGCAGCGUCAGCAGGAAGCUGCUCUGCGCCAUGAAGAGCGGAUAAAGAGACUCCAGGGGACAGUAGAUCACUUGGUGACUACACCAGUUGGGGCUAGUCAAGGACAGCCGGGAGUUGCGACGGAGGCAUUUCCGUCAGGGUCGGGCAAUCCGACUGCUGUUAGUACAGAGAUGGAAGUUGAAAGAGAGAGUGCUUUAGCGGCUCUAAUGACUUUCAAGAAGUUUGAUCCACCUACUCUUGAUGGAGAGGACAUAGAUCUAUGGACUGUGGAGUCGUGGAUUGACUCCCUAGAGAUUAUUUUCGAGGAUUUGUACACGGUGGAGCAGGACAAGGUACGCCUAGCCAUGCAUUGUUUGCAACGAUCAGCGAAGGUGUGGUGGAAAGGCAUCAAGCAGAAUCGAUCACUUAGUCUUCCUCCUAUGGGUUGGACGGAGUUUCGGGAAUUAAUACUCUCUGUUUAUUUUCCCGAUAGUGAAAAGAGAAAACUUCGGGACAGGUUUCAGAAAUUACAACAAGGAGAUCGCUCUGUGAGGGAGUACGAGCGGGAAUUCUCCCGUCUCGUGAACUGUGUUCCAAGUGUGGUACAAGACGAUAAGGAUCGAGCUGAAUGUUUUGUACGAGGACUUCGGCCUGAUAUUUUCAAAGCAGUGCAUAAUCUUAAGUUGCAGACUUUUGCUGAAGUUGUGGAUCGGGCUCUAUGGAUAGAGCAAGGCAAUGCUUUUGUGCGUGAAGAGCGCGAGGCUGAGGAAUGUAAGCGAGUGAGGUCACUACCAAGUAGCUCAGAUGAACAGUCAAGUUUUGGACACCUCUCGACAUCAUCCUCUACUCGAUUCUCCCCACGAUGUGUGAUUUGUGGUGGUUCUCAUUGGGCACGACGUUGCGUGCAACGGGAAGGAAAGUGCACUCGAUGUGGACAACCGGAACACCCAGGUUAUGAGUGCUUGCAAAGUGAUAGUAUGUGGGCGACGCCUUUUUCCUCCCCGGGACAACUUGCAGGUGUGCCACCUGCGGCACGGUCUGGAGAGCGAUUGAGGAUAAGGCAACCGAGGGGUUCGCGACGGGCAGCAAGUGGCCGUGAAUAGGCGACCCAUGUGGUGGAACCUGCUGCGAUUGGUCGUAAUGUGGCAGGUAUGAGUUAAUUAAAGCAAGCAUGUAUUUCAAUAUGAUAUCACUUGGUGCAUUGCAUGCAUUCAUUGUGUAAUCUGUUACUACUAUAGUGAUCAAGUGAAUGGAUAAGGGUAGAGACCCGAACAUGAUUGUGUUGUGGAUGUGUAGUACUUGUUGGAACAGGUAAGAGUCCUGGAACACUAGCAAAUCGCUGGUGAUAGCCUGUGAGAAGAAGUGAGACUCGUAGUAGAAAUGGUAGUGAUUGACCAACUCUCAAAACCAGUGCGAGUGGCUGAUUGCGAGAGUCUAGUCGCGAUGUUCGUGGAAUUCUUGUACGACCGAGCAUUUUGCAGGUUGUUCUAGUAGAUCGAACAGUGAAAAUAGAAUCACUGUUGCGUCUGGUACGUGCACGUGGACCUAGUGGUACCUCGAAUUGAGGUAAGUAGGUCGUGCUCGUGUAGUCGAUAUCCAUAGGCAAGAGUUGCCUAAUGCUAGACUUAAUAUAGCACGCGAUAGAGUCGUGUAGAGCACUCGAGUGUUGGUGCUCGUAGAGUGCAGAUUUGUUUCAGCCGUGAGUGUGUUGGUAGUAGCACUUUAGUGUUUCUAAGUGUGAAGCGUGCCAGAGAUCACUCAUAGGGCCGGUGGCUCGCACUAGGUGCGUAGGAGCCGAUAGUGGUACAUAUGCUCAGCAGAGUGUCGCGUGAGACGACGUUUGCGGGUAGUGCUUGGGGACGAUCCGUGCCUGGACCAUUUGUGAAUUGUGGAGCCUGGACCCAUUGGGUAGGCGCAGUCAGCUAUGAGAGAUAGCGGCCCGAUACCUACAGGUAGGGCGGAGAGUUUUGGUCAGGACGGUAGUCCGAGCAUAGACCGAGUACGUGGAAUGCCACGUGUUAGACCGUGAAAUCGGUGAUGCACUGAGAGUGCGAUUAUGACCCAACCCGAGGACUUGGCGUGAUUUAGGGUCUUAGUUACUCCUGGUUGGAGUAUGUGCGAAUUCUCUAAUGAGAAUUUCGCCCAAUAAUGAUAAUUGGGUCUACGCUUGUGAGCGAGAGACGUUGAGUUAAGCGCUAGGCCUAACAAAUCGUCGAUCCGAUUCGCGAACAGAUCUGUGGUAAUUGAGACACGUAGUUACCCGUGUGCAUUGUAAGUGAGUAGUUCGAAUAUUUCGAACAUGUCCAAGUGAAGGAUAGUGAGUAGGGACCGUGAAAGCGAAGGCUUGGUCCUAUGGAUUAUCUAGUCAGAAUUGCUAAAAUAAGCAUCGAUGACGAGCUGAGAUUGGAAACGCGAACAAAGGGUUCGUAGAGACUGAUUCGGAGGAAUCAGGGUAGCAUAGGUUGAAAUUCAGAAGCUACAGACUGAAAUGAUUCUACAUGUUGAUGAUGGUUGAUACUUAUCUCCAUCCGUUGAGUAAAAGAGGAGUAAUAGGAAUCUAAGUUUCGCGGACGAAACUUUUAUUAACGAGGGGAGAAUGUGUCACGCCCCGGGACCGAUACCAAUUUGGCCCGACCCGAGCUCGUCAAACAGACGCCGAACGGACAGAGUUUCCCCUAUCCGCCCAAGGCUCAUCACAUGUACAAAUUCAAACAAGAAAUGCACUAGCGGAAACAUACACAAACGGCUUACACGAAGGUAAGCAAUAGCCAUUAGUGAAAGAAAAAGGAAACUAACAUUCACAAGUAAUAUGAUUCAUUUUAGAUCAUAUACAUUGCAUUCAUCUAGUAAUUUAGCAAAUUCUUACAUUCAUUACAUCAUUUCUUUCUUACAUCACAUUUACCUCAAAACAAGCUUUACAUUCUUUCUUUACAUCACUAAUCAUCAAAUACAAAAGAUGAUCAUAAGGUACUUUACUACAAAAUGAAACCCAACAUUGGUGGCCUCUGACUAAGGCGCGAUACCUUUACCUCGGUCGCUCGCCGGCUCGCUCGGUCCCGGCUUUGUGGAAAUAGUGGGGUGAGAACUACAACAAAGUUCCCAGUGGGUUCGGCCUCAACAUCUAAGCCGACUUUUCCUACCUGAGCACUACUAAGCAUAAUAGAAAGGAUAAGCUGACAAUAGUAGUAACGCAACCUAACAACAUGAAGUAAUAUGCCUGAACAUAAAGCAAGGAAUAUGCUCAACAUAACAAUGUAAUUAUGCAAAUUUUUUGUUCUUUUCACUUACUCUUUGUUCUUGUUCUUUGCACUUUGUCUUGUUCUUUGUUUCUUAAUCUCAAGCUAACCCGGGGUAUCGGCCACAUUAACUUGCUUCACAUUAAGUCCAUCAUCGCAGGAACUCACCAGCUAGGAGACGUCCUUACGGUUUACUCCAACCCGGAUGCAUAACUCCGGAGCGCAUCGCCCGAGGGGGCGCAACCGCCCUCGAGCACGGUAACUAAUAGCAAGUAUGAUCGAAUCCUUAACUCAAAGGAUUUUAUAAGUUCAAUCUUGACUUUACACUAGCUCUAGUGUUCUUAUAUCACUUUAUGUUGCAAACUCAUGCAAUCACAUUCUUUACAUUUCUUUUACUUUGCUAUCUCUAGCAAUUAUAUCUUCAUAUCUUUACUUUGCUACCUCUAGCACUUCGUGUUCUUUAUUUCCCCACAUUGCUUUAACUUAAACAUUGUCAUUUCAUCAUUCUUUACAUUACAAUUGUUAUUUUGCACACCACUAACUCUAGUGUCUCUUUACUAUACAUUUUCAAAUGCCACUCGAUCUAUGUCAUUGUGCAUUCGUUCUUUUGCUCACUUUGGUGCUCACACUUUCUCUCAUGCAUACAUCUUAGGGUUUUUGACAUAUUAGGUUCUCAACCAUCUCAUUAUCCAAGUUGUGUUCACAAUCAUGCAAUCAUCACAUUUCAUCAUUACUUUACCCUAAAAUGCAUGCAAUAAUAUGUAGAACAUAUGCUCAAAGAAUGACACAUUAGCAUAGAAGGAAGUUCAAUGAGUUUGAGAAGCACCACCCACCUGUAGCGUCUCUUUAGGUGCUCCGACGAUUUUUCGGGAUUUUUAGAUCCUUCGUUCUUUACCUGCGGCAAAACGAAGCCAACUUAGAGCAUUUUGCCCAUAACUUUUCAUCGGCUUUUCGUAACGUAAAUCCGAACGCCACCAACGCGUCGGAAAUACCCCCAAUUAGGUUUUAGAGGGUCAAUGUUUGCACGCUUAGAAACCCUCAUGAGCAAAAGCCCCAAUUUGGGGGCCCUAGCUCCAAUGCGUAUCAAAACUAGGUUUGAUCUCAUUGGGAAGCAAAAGUAGCUUCAUGUAUACUCUAAAUAGUCCAUUAGAAACAUUCUUAGGCUUUCCAAAACCCUAGAUUAGAUUUCACCAUUAGAGUGGUCCAAGCUCACCUCUAUAGCAAACUAGUUGUUGAUCUCUAAAGAAGCAAAAAGAAGCUUCAAACUCUUUAAUCAUUCCAUUAAAAACCCAUUCUAGCUCAUCCAAACUCAUUCUAGGGUUUACUAUGAUUAAGUGAAGCUUACCUCAAGGCUUUUCCCUAACUUGCAUUAGAGAGGAAGAAGAUCGAAGCCUCUUGUGCUCUUUGAUCUUCUUCUUCACUUUUUCUCCUUCUUUUCCUUCUUUUCUUCCUUUAUUCUUCUUCUCUUUUGUCUUCUAGAGCAGAGAGAGGCGAGCAGAGCAGAGUGUGAGAGCGCGUGAGCGAAAUGAGAGCAAAUAUCUCAUUUGGCCUCAUACAUAGCUAUUGGGUUCCAAAAUGCAAUAAACCCCUCAACUUUCACUUAAAUACACUGCUCGAACUGGGCUGAUCGCCGCAGGCAGAGACCGCGUCUCCCCGAGCAGGGACCGUUCCCGAACGUCCACCGCUGCGCAGCCAGAGGCCGCUGCGCGCGAUUGCGACGCGUCUCUCUCUGAUGGACUCGGUCUCUGGGGGACCGGUCUCUCAGGCAGAGACCGGUUCCCGAGAGCUGAUAACUUCCAGACUUAGCCGAUUUUUCGGCUGUCUCAUUCCACACGCGUUCGGGACGGUCUCUCCCACCAGGACCGGUCCCCGAGAGCUUGAAAAUCUGCAGCUUUUGCAGAAUUGAUUUUAGCUCUCGAAAACCUUCCACAACUCACUUUUGAUCAUUUUAACUACCUCGAACUUCGGAAGUGUACAUCCUCGCACUUUGGUCAAUUUGACUAAAGUUCGACAUUUUUAUUUUCCGAAUUUUCGCGUAUAUUACAGAAUGUAACAUAUGGAAAACUGUGAAGUUGCAAUGUCAACCUUGAUCUAGGGAUCAAGUGAGGAUUGAACUAGUUGGACAUCAUCCUCGAGUGAAUUGUGAUGCGUUGGAAUGACUUUCAGAGAUAAAUAGUGUUUCGGCGCAAAUUGCGGCGCGAAACGAAAUAUAAAGAGAAUUUUCGGAUUUCGACGCUAACUUUGAUUAAAAGAAUUACAAGUAAGGCGUGAGCGAUAAAUUGUGGUAUACUCCGAAUCAAUUGUGAAGCUUUGGAAAAGCCAAGGUGUGUUUUCAAAGGAUUUGAAGAGCUCAGUGCGAAGUGGUAGUGUAAAAAAGUAGAAAAUGCAAGUAGGAGCUGAUUCUAUUGUUAUUCGGCUCAAUAAUGUCAAAAUGCAAAGGAAUGCUUCCAAACUAAAUUCGUAGCUUGUGAAGAUCCCUUGGUAUAUUUUGGAAGUGUUUGGUGAAAUCGGAGUGAAAACAGAAAAUGUAGACUUUCUGUAAAGAACGCGGACUGAGAAAAUUAGCAGAAAAUGCACAGUGUCAGAAAAAUUAUGAAAAUUGGCAAAGAUGUCAGGAAACAUUUUUAUGAGGCUAGAUUUGAAGUUUAAUAUUUUUUUGACCACGCCUGUAAGAGAGAAAUAGCAUAUGAAAGUUAUCUGAUAAAGCUUAUAGUUCGGCGACAGUUCGCAGUGACCAAACGGGUUCGAAACUGAAAUGUUAAAAUUUCAGUGGACUUCUUAAGAAAAAACGAACAUUUUGUAAAAAUUGAGCUCAAUCGAACUAUCGAAGGCAAACAUAUAUGAAUAUGAACCGAGAUGACAUGAGAAUGAAUAUAUAUAUGAACGGGAAGCCAUAGUUAGCUAAAUUCAUAUGUUCAUGAUGAUAUAAAGUGUUGAACUUGUAAAUAUGCAUGUUAAACGCUGUAAAAGCCAAGGCAUGUAAAUUGAAUAUGAAAUGUGAACCUAGAUGCUAUUGUCGACACUAAAAGCGAAUAUUGAGGCAUGGCCCAAACAUAAUGUGAAAAUGAAUAUAUUAUAGUUCAAGCUAUAUGAACGUCGAUAAUGAUUAGAAACCUCGAUGGCAAUAAGUAUAUAAUCUGUAAACCUCACGCUGAAAUCCCUAAGUAUUGGUAUAAAUCGACAACAUCCAGUGAGUAGAAAUCUAAACGGUAACGAGGGUAAAUGAAUAUGUGCAGAUUAUAAACCUAGGCGUGGAGAACUAGGACAUUGAAUAGAUCGGUGGCAUGAACACUAGAGUUAUUAACCGUAGGUGGACAUUGAAUAGCUCGAGUAGCAUGAACCUAGUGCUAUUAAACAUAGGUUGGACAUGAAUAAGCCUAGUGUUAUAUGAACAUAGGUCGACAUUAACCUAGUGUCAGUGGACCUAGGUCGAGUAUUGUAAACUAGAGUUGAAGAUCUAGGAGAAAGUAUAUAAAACCUAGUGUAAGUGAACCUAGGUUAUGAUGUAAAGAACAUCUUAGUAAAGUAAACUAAGUUGUGAAUCAAGUGGGCAAUAGACCACUAGAAAGUGAAUAGAAUAGACCUAGAAAGAUCGUCGACAUAGGGUAAAAGAGUAAACCCUUAAGUUGUGAAAAUGGAUUCCGAAUCCCUAGGAUUGGUAUGAUAGGCAGAAAUAGAAUCUUAACUAGCGGAUUGACGUUCUCCUCUCCCGUAGUGAUUCAACGGGAUCAACAGUUCUCCUCUCCGCGUAUGCCAUGAAGGAAGUGAAUCGGAACACGGAUCGACAGUUCUCCUCUCCCGGUAGUGAUUCAACGGAUGACGGUUCUCCUCUCCGGUUGAGCUAACGGGUUUGACGGUUCUCCUCGCCCUGUUGAGCUGAGAGAUUAGGGUCAGCGGGAUCGACGGUUUCCUCUCCCUGUGAUGGACCUCAGUGUCGCGUGGACUUAAGCUGAGGUGUUGUGAGACGUCCUGCCACCUCGAGCCUGACUGACGCGCGUACUCGCCGCGGUUGAUUGACUCAAGACCGAGUCGAGUGCUAGAUGGCUAAGGUAAGUAACCUUAGAAAGAAUCGCCAGUGAGUACAAUAAAAUAAAGAAUAAAGCAUAAAGAAAAGAAUAAGGAAAUAGCUAAUGAAUGAAACUAGCUAAGAAAGAAUAAAAGCUACAAGUAAAGAAUGGCUAAUGAUAUAAAGUGAAUCAAGUAAUCUACUUACAUGAAUUACAGGUAAUGCAUAUUGCCAAGCCAGCGAGGCAAGGUAUGGUUUUAUUGAUCGCAUCGUUAAAUAUCUAUCUAUCUAUCUGAUUGUUAACUAACCUACUGUUUCCUCCUUUGACCUGGUAGGUCGAGCUCUCUUCUGGGUAGGGCUACCCACUGGGAACUAUAUUUAUAUAGUUCUCACCCCCGUGUUGUUUGGGGUACAGGUUGCACGCGAGCGCGCGGCGGCGCGAGGACAGGGCGUAGUUCCGUAGAUAGCGCCCCACCACCGAACCGAGAUAGCAAUACCCUGAAGAAGUAAGUUCAGCAGUUCAAAAUUGAAAGCAAACAAACUUGUAGUGAAAUUGGUAUAAGUUUUGUAAUAACAUAAGGUAUUUGGAAUUUUGUAAAUAUAAAAUGCUGAGAUGAAUGCCUUGUAAUAGCAUAGUUAGCACUUUAUGUUUUUGAUACUUAUGCAAUCUGUGGUUGAAUACAGUUCCUGUUUGGAACCUCUUGUAUAUGCAUUGUAUAGAUUGUGACGCCUACGAACGAUAGGGGAGGCUCUGUCCGUUCGGCGGUCUGUCGGCGUACCCGAAUCCGACCAAAUCGGCGGAGCUCAGGCGUGACAUAAAUUCCCGGCCGAAGUCCUCGCAAGAGCCACUCGGCCGCGUCCCGCGUCAUCCUUGACAACAUCCUGGACACAAUCAUGAUGUGGGAGAAUUCUUGUUCAUACUCCGCCACUAAGCCGCUCCCUUGCUCCAGCUUGCGAAUUUCUCCUUGAGCUUCCGCUUCAACGUAUACGGAAAUAAUUGGCGAACAUUUCCCGCUUGAAUUCCUCCAUACAUCGCGCGGAAGGCCGCCGGAAGCCGAUCCGUUUAACGCGCUCACCAAACCUCGCCGCCGCCUUCUCCAGGCAAUGGGUAGCGAGGUAGACUUUAUCCGCUCUCCAAGGUACGCAAAUCAUCGAAGGGGUUCCAUCAAGUCGAUCCAAGCACUCGACCAUCUCUGGUUCCACCUUCUCGCCCCUCGAAAGUUGGCGUAUGGAACUUGUUGAAUUUGAUAAGAGCCGCCAAUGCGCGCUCUCCUUCCACCUCUUCGCCGACACAUCGGAGGUAGCCAUCCAGAUGCCGCCUGUGUGCGAUCUGCUGUCGGUCGGCGUCUGCAGCACACACCAGAACCGCGCGUAUACCCUCACCCUCCGCCACCUCGGCACACGGUCGAGGAGCGCGCGGCGGCCACCGCCCUCAGCCAUUGUCGCGGCGCGGGUGCCGUGAGCUCCGCUCCAUAAGUUCCUGAAGCCUCUCGAAUCGGGUCUCCUGGCGCUGCCACCACGCUAGUCAACGCGGUCACUUGCGGCCUGCAGCCGAUCAUCAUGCUCGGCUCCGUCUGCUCGGGCACCUCGGUGCGGUGCUGGAGUGGAUCUCGUACUUGGGGCGUCUCUUCCGUGCCAUAGCUCUGAAACGCAACCACUUGUUUAAUCACUUUAACCAACUUCCUCGUCGGAAUCACCGACACACCACGACUCAGCAACAAAAUCGGCGGAAGCACACACGCGUACUCGUCCUAGACUCUGGCAUUAUGUCGUCGGCCGCCGACACAACACCUCAAGCCACGAACUCAUACAACUCAAUCCGUCUCUAAUCACAAUAAGAGACCUAUACCAACUCGACCCAAUCGAAUUAACUUCCGCCAUCGCUGAUAGGUUCACAUUCCGCUCACGUCUGCACCUAUAACCUUAAGGCUGCCAACUAGGUCCCUAGGUCAUCUAAACUCUCUUUACUUGCUCUUAUGCUCUGAUACCACGAAAAUACUGUCACGCCCCGCCCCGCGAAACCACUACCAAUUUGGCGCGAUUCGGCCGCGCCGACAGACGCCGAACGGACAGCACCCUCCCCUGCCCGCCAAGCUCAACCACAGGAAUGUGUACAAGAAUUUACCUAGAACUUUAAUUCUAACAUACAACAUUCAACGACGGGCACAAACAGUGCGCAACAACAAGAGAAGACAAGUAAUCCACAAGAUAUACGAGUGAAAUGAAGAGAGUACUUUAACUAACUAUUACAAUAGUUACAUUCUUUACCUUUACAUCAUUUUCAAAAAUGAAUAGCAUUUGAUCCCUCAAAAUACAUAGCUCUCCAACCUCACCUACAUGAAUCUCUCUCAUACAUAGGUGUACUAAUGCAAAGGAAGCUACUACACUCACCACGGCCUCACUGAUGGCGCGCGAUGCCCUUGCCGCGGUCCUCUCUCUGCAAGCCCUGAACCUACACUGGAAAUAGAGUGGCGCUGAGGAACCUACUUCCAUCAGUUCCAGCUGUGGCUGGCGCACUCGUGCGAUCUCCCACUAGGUCCAAGUGGGCACAAGUAACAACAAAUAGAUAGAUAAUAUGUAUCUGAAGCUGUAAUGCAGUCUACGUAGGAAAACUAUGCUACUAUGCCCAUAAUCAUGAAUAUGAAUGCAUGCAUCAUAUAAUAAAAGGUUUGCUACCAUGCUAACAAAUUCGAUCCAUGUUCGAAUCGUAAUGCUUCAAUGACAUUUAUAAACCUUUAACCUUUUUCAUUUACCCAAUCUGUGCGAGGCCCUAGGCUCGCCCUGACCAUACACUUUCAAUCCCAAAGUGGGGAGGGAGCUCCAAGUUGCACCCAGCCCGGCGACCGUCUGCCGAACCUCCAUGUGGUCCGACCUCCAAGUGGUCCUAGUCCGCCGACACUCCGGAGUACUCGACGACAAUCCCCUCCAUUGGCGAUAUGGAUGGCUAUACCAUCCCAAACCCCAGACUGUGAGCUAGAUCUGUCCUCUCCAAGUGAGAUACUCUACAUACUAGAGUCAAUACCCAAUCGAAUCCUCUCAAGUGAGGACGCCCCUACACAAGGACAGUCAACGCACUAUCGCGGAAUCAUCGGUUCCCGACAUUCAUCAAUACUAUUUAGUUUCUACAAUUCAUUGUUCACCAGCGCAUUUUUAAGGGAUCCACCUAUCCCUAGGUCCAUCGACUCCUAGUGUUAUUUACAACUACAUUAAUGCCAACUCGUUAUCAUUCAAUAUUUGGGUGCGCCACUCUGUUUCUUUGACAAUAAACCUACUUUCUAUGUCAUCAAUACCCCAUCGGUUCAUCUCUAUCUCUAGAUCAUAGGAUCACUGUUCCGACCCAAUCCUCACCUAUCUACGUUACAAGCGUUCAAGUACACUAGGUCAUCCAUUAGAAAGCAUAUAGGAAUGGCGCUACUAUGCAAUCCUACAACUGCAACAUGAAGAGAUGAGAUUAAAUGCAAUCUAAGACAUAGAAAGGAGUUCGAGAAGUUCGGGAUAACACCCCCCACCUUUUUAAUCGAGUGUAGAGGUUUUGGAAAUCUUCUCAGCGAGCUUCGCGAAAAGCGCUUUAGCCUUUUUCCUCCCCGAAUCAACACUAGCCCGGCCCGAUUUGCCGAGAACUUUCACGCAGGUUGCCAACUGCCAAAUCGACUUCGCCCCCCGCGUGUUUGGGACCUAUCAAUCAGUUAUCCAAAGGCUUCAAAUGAGAUACACCCAUCUCAACGACUUUAUACAAAACCCCAUUGGAACCCUAGAUUCCACCUAGAAGCUAACACCCCUAUAAGAUCCUAGCAUUUCUUGGAUUGAAUCUAUUUUAGAAGCUUGCCUUAGGGUCCGAUUGACCAUUCAAGACAUAAAACCACAAAACCUAAGUUUAGAACGCUAGCGUUUAGUAGCGUUACCUCAAGAGCUUUUUUUACUCCAGGGAAGAGGCAGAAGAGAGAUAGCGAGGUGCUCAAGCCUCCUCUUGAUCUCCUUCUCUUCUGCCUUCCUUACUUUCCAUCUUCUUUCCGUCCUCUCCUUCUUGUUCAUUCUUCCCUGCUUUCCUUCUAAGAGAGGAGAGAGCAAGAGCAAAAUGAGAGUGAGAGAGAGUAAAAUGAGAGAGUGGAGGAGAGAGAGGCGCUCAUGCCUACAAAUAAAGGCCAUUGCAUAAAGCCCUCGACUUUCCACCUUGUGCCACUGCCCUUAUCAUGGCAUGUUUUCCGCAUGCAGGGACAGAGUCUACCCGACUUUGGGACGAGUCCCCGAGAGGCUUCCCUCGGCCGCGCACGCGUUCGGGCAACCGAGUCUCUCCCGGCGAGACCGUCCCUCACUGAGAAGACCAUGUCCCAGAGCUUGAUUUUCAGGACUUAGCCAAUUUUUUGGCAUCUCUCGCUGGGACCACGUUCGGGAACCGGUCCCUCCCUGCCAGGGACCGGUUGCAUCACGCAACCCCGCUACAUCCAGCCAGGGGAACCGGUCUCUCACCUGCAGAGACCGGUCCCCGAGAGCAACAUCAGCCCAAUGAUGCCAUUUGCCUCAUUUGCUCUCGCGGACUCAACUCCAAGGCACUUUUUGUGCUUUGGACAUUCCCAACUCCCACAAAGGGUAUACUCUCGACAAUUAGUCGAUCCUGGAUGGAGUACAAUCCUCGCAUUUCGAGAAUUCACUUCCUUACACAUAAUCCAAUAUAUCUUUAUGUAAUGAAUAUGCUCUAUCAUAACAACCAAGUAUACUAUGAUGCAACAAGUAAACUAUCAAGUAUACUACAUGUCCCAACGCUAUGCUACAAGCAUGUCAAGGUAAUCCAACUACUACUCCCUAUCUAGUAGUGAUUAACUUUUACGAAUUGAUGUCAUUGUCCAAUCUAGUUUUGGGACCUACACAAGUGUAGUCCAGCUUGUGCCGCCUAAGUGUCGGUGGUAGCUCCAGCAUUCCUACUCUAGGAAUGAGUCUAUCCCUCCCGACUCCGUAGGUUUCUCGAUGCCGCACGAGCUAACAUAAGCCGCGUAGGCCAACUCCGGACUGCCGGCUUGUGGGGAGCGACCCUCACAAGCGUGUGCGAAUGAGCACAAAUGGCAAGCAAGCAUAGUCAAUGUCUCAAGUGUCCAAUCAUCAUGUCUCUAGCAUGGUCAAAGCCACUAGCAACCCAACGGUCUAGUUCUAUGUCUCAAAGUGAUGUUCCAACACUCACCUUGCUUAGUGCCUCUUUAUGCACUUAAGCAUUAUGAUAAUCCAAGUACAAUCCACAUUCUAUGUCCCUUCAUGACACUAGUACUAGGUUCACACAUAACCCAAGCUCAAUGCCGUUUUAUGACAUUAGCUCCAAAUUUUUUCAUGACAGUCUAGUCUGAUGCCUCUUUAUGGCAUUAGCUAUCUCUCAUGUCUCUAACAUGCAUAGGUUUAUGUAGCACACUGGACUUUUGCAAAUUGCGAGGUUCGAGUGUUUGGAUGUAUUUCGAGCUUUUCCACACUUGAUGGAGGGUUGUAGAAUGUUUUCCGACCUAAAAAAUUCGAAAACUGGAAUUCUGGACAAGUCCUGAGAGUUUUUACUCUCGGGGACCGGUCCCUGGAAGGAGAGACCGGUCCCCCGGUGAGCAGUGUUGUGGCAGUCGGUCCCUGGCAGGCGAGACCGGUCCCCGAGCGCGCCUUCGCAGAGAGAGACCGGUCCCGCGCAGGGAGAGACUGGUUCCCGAACGUUGGUUUUUCGGGUUCGCAGCGAGAGACCGGUCCCUGCUGGGGAAAGACCGGUCCCUCUGGGCGAAAACUGCCCAGACCGGGCUGUUGCAAUAUUGGAAUUUUGAGGGACCUAGUUGGAUUUUGUUACAAUAGAGGGUCUAUAUGACCCAUCCACCCUCUCUUCUCCUCAUUUCCCUCCUCACACUCUCCCCACAUCCUUGCUAGAGAGAGAAGAAGGAGAAGAAGAGGAAGGAGAAGAAGAGGAGAAGGAUCUAGAUUGGGCUUGCAGCAUCCCUUUGCCUUCCUUCCUCUUCCCACCUUGUUGGUGCUUGAAGGCUUGGACUUGGAGCUUGCAAAGGAGAAGAUCUUCACCCUUUGAGCUUGGAUUGAAGCUCCUUAGAGGUUAGUAGCCCUUUCUCUCCAUCUAGACUUUGGAUUUUCGGUUUUCUUGUGUUGGAACCCUAGAAUGAGAUUUUAGGGUUGAUUUUGGGGCUUUUUGAUCUAGGGCUUUUGGGACUAAAUUAGUUGGAUUAGAACCUUCCAUUUGGUUGGAUUGGAAGGGUUCUAGCUCUCUUUUGGAGCUUUGGAAGAGAUUUCUUCUCUUGAGGUGAGUUUUAGUCCUUUUGUCUUGUUGCUUAAUAUUUGAUCUUAUAGUUGAUCGUAAUGCCCGUGUAUCUCUUCGCUCAAUACUUUUAGGGUAUUUUGAGGCUCGUGGACAACUCGGUUCGGCGAAUCGAAGGAGCACGCGACGGUUCGGUGGGUUUGACCUAGCCUAUGAUAUGAGAAAUGCUCAUAUUUGGCAAAAUAUGAUUCGUAAAAUAGAUAUUCAUGCAUUUUCAUGUUAAAUGUAUUUAAUAUGAAUUUUAGAAUGCUUAACAUGCAUAUAUUAUGUAUAGUAAAAUUUUAGACCCCUAUGUGGUAGAGUGUAUGCAUGUGAGACUUAGCAUUCUAGUUAUGAUUGGGAACCAUGAUUCCUAUUAUGGAAAUGAACCUUGCUUUCAUGCAUUUAACCUAUAUGCCAAUUGUGACAUUAGGAAUUUUAGAAGCCUAGAGAAGGCUUGAGAACUUGGACUAUUUGAGAUUGGGCCAAUGUCAUAAAGAGGCAUUGGGCCCGGGCUAAAGUGAACCUAGCUAGUAUUUUUUAAAUUGGAAUAUGGAACAUGAAUUGGGCAUGAUUAGUUGUGAUGCUUAAGUGUCAUAAAGAGGCACUAAGCAAGUGUGUGCGUUGGAGCGUCACUUUGAGACUUUGGACUAGAUCCUUGGGAUGCUAGUGGCCUUCCCAUGUGAGAGGCAUGAGAGUAGAGUACUUGAGACUUUGACCUUGCUUGCUUGCCAUUUGUGCUCAUUCGCACAUGCUUGUGAGGGUCGCUCCCUACAAGCCGGCACUCCGGAGUUAGCCUACGCGACUUAUGUUCGCUCGUGCGGUAUUAAGAAGCCUACGGGGUCGAGUGGGACAGACAUAUUCCAAGAGUAGGGAUGUUGGGCUACCACAGGCACUUAGGCGGCACAAGUUGGACUACCUUUGGUAGGUCCUUAAUUGGAAAUGGAAAUCGACACGGGAUGAGUUUGUUAUAAUCACUACUAAAUAGAGAGUGGUAGUUGGAUUGCUCGGACUUGCUUCUAGCAUAUAUUUAGACUUUGGGUAUACUAGGAGGCAUUGCUAGGAGGCAUUGCUUAAUUGCACUCAUAUAAACAAUGUUGCUAUGAUAAAGGAUAAUCCUCAUAAUUUCAUUAAGCAAACCAUGACAAUCAUCUAUGGCUAAGUAGAGACAUAUUCUUCAUGACAAGAUAAUUGUGCAUUACCUAAAUGCCAUAUUUAAUUGCAAGUAAUAUUUUAGUAUUUUCAUUAUGCUUUCAUAAAUGCAAAUUACUCGUUAUUGCUAUUGCUUUUGACUUACCCCUUUUCUUUUGGGCCUAGUAGUGCAAUGAGCUGAGGUCAGUAAUUGCCCACUGGGAACUAUAAAUUAUAGUUCUCACGCCCUCUGUUCUAUGUUUUCUUUCAGAGCCUUCCACGCCGGGAGAGGCUAGGGACCGUGGGAAGGGCGUUGCUUCGGAUUAGCCCUUCAGUCAAAGAUGAGUUUAAGUGGUCUUCCUCUCGACGUAUUUCUUUUUGUGAGAGGUUGAGAGUUUACCCGUGUACUAAAGACCACCAUUCUUGUACUAGAUAUCGAUGUUGUACUACUUAUAUUUUUCUUUUAUGGUUUAAUUAUGUUUCUUUUACUCUGGUUUAGAUGAUAGAACCGUACUCGCUCUGAUAUUAUUAGUUACCACUAUGCUAUUUGUUCUACUUCUUGCUUUACUUCCGCUUUUGUUGUAGACGCUUUAUAUGUGUAGACAUAUGGCGGGUCUGGGCGCGCUACCGGGAGGGCCUUCGCCGGUCCCGGGGCGUGACAGUUUAAGUGCACUACACAAUGCUCAUUUUCGUUGUAAGAAACAUGGUCCCAAGUCCAACAUAAGAAUGCCAAAUGCUAGUAUAAGCCUCACAUGCAACUCUCUCCUAUAUAGAGGUCCGAAAAUUUAUUGUACAUGACAUAGGGAUGUUAAGUAUUCUAAAAUUCACAAUAAAUACAUUUAGCAUGAAAAUGCAUGAAUUUCCACUUUACGAAGCAUAAAUCACCAAAUAUGAGUAUUUCUCAUAUUGUAGGCUAGGUCAAACUCACCGAACAACGCGUAACCCUUCAUUUGCUCUAACGAAGAUGUCCACUAAGCUCCUAGCAUCCUAGAAGCAACAAAAAGUGAGCUACAAGGAAUAAACGAACAACUACUAUCUCAAUCAUUAACCAACUAGACAAAAGGGCCAAAUCUCACCUAUAGUGAAGAAAUCCCUCUUCAAAGCUCAAAUGGAAGUCAAAUCCCUUCCAAAGCAACCUAAACCAAGGUUCUAAUCCCAUUAGAUUAGCCCCAAAAGUCUCCAAACAAAAAGCCCCAAAAUAAACUCUAAAAUCCAAAUCUAGGGUUUCAUCUCCCAAAAUCCACCAAAACUAGGUCUCGAGGGGAGGAACAAGCAACUAACCUCUUAAGAAGCUUCAAUCCAUGCUCCAAGUUCUCUAGGGUUGAAGAUAUCCUCUCUAGUAAGCUCUAAGUCCAAACCUCCAAGCACCAACAAGGUGGGAAGAGAGGGAGAGAAGAUACUCCAAGUCCUCAAACAAGCUCUUCCUCUACUUCUCCUUCUUCUCCUUCUCCUUUUUCUCCUUCUUCUUCUCUUUCUAGAGUGUGUGAGAGAGUGAGAAGUGAGGGAAAGAGGGAAGAGAAAUGGCCUAAAAGCCCUCUAUUGUAACAAAAUUCGGAAAAGUCCCUCUACUUUUCAUCCUAUGCAUCAGCCCGAACUGGGCAGUUUUCGCCCAGAGGGACCGGUCUCUCCCAGUUGGGACCGGUCCCUCGGGACCAUCCAGCAAAACCAGCUCUCGGGAACCGGUCUCCCCAGCCGCGGACUGGUUGCCUCGCCGUGGGGGACCGGUCUCUCCCACCAGGGACCGGUCCGCAAGAGUAAAAAUCUCAAGACUUGUCCAGAAGUUCAGAUUUCGAACUUUCUGGUCAGAAUGCAGUCUACGACCCUCCACCAAGUGUGGGAAAAGCUCGAAACACCAAACCCAAACACUCGAACCUUGCAAUUUGCGAAAGUCCAGUGUGUUACAUUCACCCCUCCUAAAAAGGAGUUUCGUCCGCAAAACUCGAAAAGCAAAGUACCUCAAGCCUCCAUCUGAAAAAGAUGGAGAUAGCGCUCCUGCAGUGCGCUCUCCAACUCCCAAGUGGCCUCACGUUCAUCGUGGUUGCACCAAAGCACCUUCACGUAGGGAAUCUCACGGUUCUGCAAUCUCUUAACUUCGCGAGCCAAAAUCCUCAAAGGUUGCUCUUCAAAACUCAAGUCAUCCCUCAGCUCCAAAGGUGUAGCGUCCAACACGUGAGCCGGAUCAUGGAUGUACUUCCAAAUGACCGAUACAUGGAAUACAUUGUGUACACCCGAUAGGUUCGGCGGUAGAGCAAGUCGAUACGCUACCGGGCCUACACGCUCUAAAACCUCGUAUGGUCCAAUGUAUCAGGGGCUCAACUUACCCCGGAUGUCAAAUCUUCUAAUUCCUUUAGUUGGCGAGACUUUCAAGAAGACAUGAUCUCCAAUCUGAAACUCAAAGUCUCGUCGUCGCCUAUCAGCAUAACUCUUUUGCCUACUCUGGGCUGUCAACAAUCGCUCCCGAGCAAUGCGAACCUUGUCCUCUGCUUCCUGGAGCACGUCAGGGCCUAAAGCCAAUCUCUCGCCAACUUCACUCUAAUGAAGUGGCGAUCUACACUUCCAUCCAUAGAGUGCCUCGAAAGGUGCCAUCUUGAUGCUUGCUUGAUAACUGUUGUUAUAAGCAAACUCUGCCAUCGGUAGAUACUGCGACAAUCCUCCCUGGAAGUCAAUCACACACGCACGAAACAUGUCCUCGAGAGUCUGUAUAGUACGCUCUGACUACCCGUCACUCUGAGGGUGGAAAGCUGUACUAAAAUCCAAACGCGUACCCAAAGCAUCCUGUAAGCUCCUCCAAAAGUGGGAUACAAAUCGGGGGUCUCGAUCUGAUACUAUAGAAGUAGGUACCCCGUGCAAUCGCACAAUCUCGUCAAGAUAUACAUGUGCGAGUCUCUCACCAGUCCAAGUAGUGUGAAUAGGUAUGAAAUGAGCCGAUUUCGUCAACCUAUCCACAAUCACCCAAAUAGCAUCAUGCCCAGCCUGCGAGCAAAGCAAUCCCAUCACAAAGUCCAUGGUGAUCUUCUCCCACUUCCACACUGGAAUCGGUAAGCUCUGCAACUUUCCCGCAAGAACUCGAUGCUCAGCUUUAACCUGUUGGUAAGUUAGACAUCUAGCAACAAACUCGCCAACAUCAUUUUUCAUCCCGAGCCAACAAUAUAGCAACUUCAAGUCCUUGUACAUCUUGGUGCCUCCCGGAUGUAUAGCAUAGGGUGAUUGGUGUGCUUCUUGAAGAAUUUCCUCUCUAAGUGCCGAUUUCGCUGGUACACAAACCCGUCCGCAGAAACGCAUCAUCCUAACACCGUCCACAGUGAAGUCACCAGUGCAACCACCAACCAUCUUAGCUCGAAUCCUUCGCAACUCCACGUCGUGAACUUGCUUUUCCUUAAUCCUUUUCAAAAGUGUAGGUUACAUCGCCAAAGUCAUCAGCCUCAAAGGUGUAUCAGGACUCACCACCUCUAACUCCAACCGCUUCAUCUGCUCGAUCAACUGCGGUUGAGUAACAACAAGCAUCGCUAAGUUUUCCGUCGAUUUCCUACUUAGCGCAUCCGCCACCACGUUAGCCUUGCCCGGGUGGUAAAGAAUCGUCAGAUCAUAAUCCUUGAGGAGUCCAACCAUCUGCGCUGUCUCAAAUUCAACUCCUUCUGAGUGAAUAAAUACUUUAAGCUCUUGUGAUCCGUAUACACUUCACACCGCUCGCCAUAAAGAUAAUGGCGCCAUAGCUUCAAUGCAAAGACUACGGCCGCCAACUCCAAGUCGUGAGUAGGGUAAUUCCUUUCAUACUCCUUUAACUGACGAGAAGCAUACGCGAUCACCUUCCCGUCCUGCAUUAAACCACAGCCCAAUCCAUUAAAGGAAGCAUCACUAUAAAUCACAUACUCCGCUCCAGCAAUUGGCAAGGUUAGGAUCGGGGCGGUAGUCAAUCUCUACUUCAGCUCUUGGAAGCUCUUUUCACACGCAUCAUUCCAAAUGAACUUAGUGCUUUUAUGCGUGAGCCUCGUGAGGGGAGUAGAAAACUUUGCAAAUCCCUCGACAAACCGUCGGUAGUUGCCGGCCAAGCCAAUAAAACUACGUAUCUCGGUAACACUCGUCGGCCUCGGCCAAUCCUUGAUAGCUUCAAUCUUCCUAGGAUCCACAGCUAUACCUGAUCCUAAAAUCAAAUGGACCAAAAACGCCACCUCUCUAAGCCAAAACUCACACUUCUUUAACUUNCACGUACGGGGACCGGUCCUCAUGAUCAGAGACCGGUCUCCCAAACCUUCUACGCAGAGAAGCUUGAUGGGUCCGGUCCCCGACCCCUGAGUUUUUCCAAAAAACUUAAGUUUGAAUAAACAAGAAGGAAACCAAGUCUUCUAAACAUCUUUUAACAAUGAAAACUUCACCACAAAUUAUUUAUAAUCAUACCUGAGUUCUCAAGGGUCUUUGAUCAUAAGAACUUCAAUUCUUUUCGUCAAUCUUCAUCUUCUAAUUCUUCGAGACUCCAUCCAAACCAUCACGAAAUUCGCCAACUUAUAAAAUCCUUAACAACUCCUUUAACUAACGAGAAGCAUACGCGAUCACCUUCCCGUCCUGUAUUAAAACAUAGCCCAAUCCAUUAAAGGAAGCAUCACUAUAAAUCACAUAUCCCGCUCCAGCAAUUGGCAAGGUUAGGAUCGGGGCGGUAGUCAAUCUCUACUUUAGCUCUUGGAAGCUCUUUUCAUACGCAUCAUUCCAAAUGAACUUAGUGCCUUUAUACGUGAGCCUCAUGAGGGGAGUAGAAAACUUUGCAAAUCCCUCGACAAACCGUCGGUAGUUGCCGGCCAAGCCAAUAAAACUACGUAUCUCGGUAACACUCGUCGGCCUCGGCCAAUCCUUGAUAGCUUCAAUCUUCCUAGGAUCCACAGCUAUACCUGAUCCUAAAAUCAAAUGGACCAAAAAUGCCACCUCUCUAAGCCAAAACUCACACUUCUUUAACUUAGCGAAGAGUUUCUUUUCCCGAAGCACUUGAAGUACUAGUCUCAAGUGUUCCUCGUGAUCCGCAUCACUUCGGAAAUAAACCAAAAUAUCGUCGAUGAACACCACGACGAACCUGUCUAGAUAUGGCUUGAAAACAUGAUUCAUUAAAUCCAUAAAAGCUGUCGGGGCAUUAGUAAGCCCAAACGGUAUAACAGUAAACUCGUAAUGUCCAUACCGUGUUCUAAAAGCCGUUUUUGACACAUCCUCAGACUUGAUCUUUAACUGGUGAUAUCCCGACUGCAAGUCGAUCUUGGAAUAUAUACUCGAUCCUUGCAGUUGAUCAAACAGAUCAUCGAUCCUCGGCAACGGGUACUUGUUCUUGAUCGUGACUUUAUUAAGUUCACGAUAGUCCACACACAGCCGAAGUGACCCGUCCUUCUUCUUAACAAAUAAGACCGGUGCUCCCCAAGGUGACAAACUCGGUCGCACAAAAUCCUUAUCCAAAAGAUCUUGCAACUGUGCCUUCAGCUCCUUCAAUUCCAAUGGUGCCAUCCUAUAGGGCGCUUUUGAGAUUGGAGUAGUCCCGGGGACGAGAUCUACAACAAACUCAAUCUCCCUAUCUGGUAGCAUGUCUUGUAGCUCCGUUGGAAACACAUCCCUAAACUCCCGCACGACGGGGAUGUCCUCAAUCCUAGGGGUGUCGGUUUCACCCCGCAACACAACAGUAGCCAAGUAUGCUACGCAGCCUCCGCUGAUCAACUGUCUAGCUUGAGAUGAGCUAAUUGUUAUGGCAAACAGCGAACUCUGGCAUCCUUGAUAAACGACGUUCGUCUGCCCCGGCUCUCUAAACGUCACCGUUCGAUUCUUGCAAUCAAUAGUGGUGUAGUACUUGGUUAACCAAUCCAUGCCCAAAACCAUAUCAAAUUCUCCAAGUUUGCGCAAAGCAAAUAAAUCCGCGGGCAUGAUCCAAUCCCCUACUCAAACAAGGCAACUGUGAUAAAUCUCUCUAAUGUCCAAGGAGUGGUCGGGAACAACAACACGUCCCGGAUGGAACAAAGAUGUCAGUGGAUGCUAUGCAAUUCGGCAAACAGCCGAUCAAUGAAUGAAUGCGAUGCACCGGUAUCAAAUAAUGCACGAACUUGAAUACCAUAAAGUAAAAUGAUACCUGCAACCACAUUCUCAGCUACUGCCGCCUCCUCCGUCUAGGCCGCAUACAUGCGCCCGCUUGGGGCCUGUCGUGACCCCUAGAUCUGCCUUCGUACAAGUGGUCGUCCGGCCUAGUGGUGAGCAGAAAACGUCCCCUGGCUGGGACCCGGUGAUGCUGGUGCAGAUGCCGAAGAUGGCGCUGGCACUGAACUCCUCGGGCAGUCCGACUGGAAGUGGCCCUUCUGGCCACAUAGGUAGCACCUGCCCCGACUGCGUGAACACUGCCGUGGAUAAUGAGGACCACCGCAGAUCACGCAACGCGGAGCCUGAUGUCGAUCAGGUCCUCCUUGCUGAGUAGACGAGCCACGUCCCCGCGACUGGCUCCGACUCCUCCGGUGCCUUGGCGGCCUCCGUGAGUGCGCCUGACUCGCACCGUCAGCCGCAGGCCUCUUGCCCUUCCCCUUUUCCAAACUCUCGCAACGCUCCUGAAGAUCUGCCGCUCCUACCUCCACAAUAAGCGUGCGGUUCACAACCUCCCGGUAGGUUUGGAGGUUGGAGGACUGCAUGUCACGCCCCGGGACCCAACGGAAGCCCGCCCGGCACGUGCCCAGACCCGCCAUACGUCUAAAACAUAUAAGGCGUCUAAAAACAACAAUAAUAAAAGCAGUAAUGAAAGACAUCUAGGAGUAUCAGAGCAUGAUAAAUGUCUAAAUGCUACCACAAGGGAUAAGGAUAAAACUGUAAAUCCACUAAAUAAGACAUAAAGUAAAUACAAUAGAAAAUCCCAAAUACAAGUGCUAAAAGUAGGUACAUAGGUGGUCUCUACACAUGGAUACAAAAUCUCUCACUCUCCCAACUACAAAAAGAAAGAGCAAACCACCUAGGCAAAGAACCGCCCCUCGCUAGCUAGCUAAGCGAUCCCCUUGCCGCGAUCCCGUGCCUCCGCCGGUGCCGAAGGCUCUNAAAGGUGCCAUCUUGAUGCUUGCUUGAUAACUGUUGUUAUAAGCAAACUCUGCCAUCGGUAGAUACUGCGACCAUCCUCCCUGGAAGUCAAUCACACACACACGAAGCAUGUCCUCGAGAGUCUGUAUAGUACGCUCUGACUGCUCGUCACUUUGAGGGUGGAAAGCUGUACUAAAAUCCAAGCGCGUGCCCAAAGCAUCCUGUAAGCUCUUCCAAAUGUGGGAUACAAAUCGGGGGUCUCGAUCUGAUACUGUAGAAGUAGGUACCCCGUGCAAUCGCACAAUCUCGUCAAGAUAUACCUGUGCGAGUCUCUCACCAGUCCAAGUAGUGUGAAUAGGUAUGAAAUGAGCCGAUUUCGUCAACCUAUCCACAAUCACCCAAAUAGCAUCAUGCCCAGCCUGCGAGCAAGGCAAUCCCAUCACAAAGUCCAUGGUGAUCUUCUCCCACUUCCACACUGGAAUCGGUAAGCUCUGCAACUUUCCCGCGGGAACUCGGUGCUCAGCUUUAACCUGUUGGUAAGUUAGACAUCUAGCAACAAACUCGCCAACAUCCUUUUUCAUCCCGAGCCAACAAUAUAGCAACUUCAAGUCCUUGUACAUCUUGGUGCCUCCCGGAUGUAUAGCAUAGGGUGAUUGGUGUGCUUCUUGAAGAAUUUCCUCUCUAAGUGCCGAUUUCGCCGGUACACAAACCGAUCCGCAGAAACGCAUCAUCCUAACACCGUCCACAAUGAAGUCACCGGUGCAACCACCAACCAUCUUAGCUCGAAUCCUUCGCAACUCCACGUCGUGAACUUGCUUUUCCUUAAUUCUUUUCAAAAGUGUAGGUUACAUCACCAAAGUCAUCAGCGUCAAAGGUGUAUCAGGACUCACCACCUCUAACUCCAACCGCUUUAUCUGCUCGAUCAACUGCGGUUGAGUAACAACAAGCAUCGCUAAGUUUUUCGUCGAUUUCCUACUUAGCGCAUCCGCCACCACGUUAGCCUUGCCCGGGUGGUAAAGAAUCGUCAGAUCAAAAUCCUUGAGGAGUCCAACCAUCUGCGCUGUCUCAAAUUCAACUCCUUCUGAGUGAAUAAAUACUUUAAGCUCUUGUGAUCCGUAUACACUUCACACCGCUCGCCAUANAUGGGUCGGAACACAGUCUACGACCCUUCAGAAAGUCUGAAAUAGCUCGGCACACAGAUCAAACACUCGAACCUCGCGAUUUGCAGAGGUCCAGUGUGCUACACUGUACCAACCGAACGAUCCAAGGCCGCAAUCCACGCUAAAAAAUGCGGGCCUUGUCCUCGUCAUCGCGCACUACGAAGGGUAUACAGUGAAGUAGCCGGAAAAACUCCCUCUCGUACUCGGCCACCGUCCGCUCCUCCUGACGCAAGCUGCGCAAAUCCUGCUCCAUCUUCCUCUUGACGCUAGUAGGGAAGUAGUGCGCCAGAAGAAGCUCCUUGAACUUCUUCUAUGAAAUCGCCGCCAGAUCAGUGUUGGGGUUGUCCUGGAUAUCCAACCACCAACGGUAGGCCUCACCGUCCAAGAAGUGUGUGGCGAGCCAAACUCUUUCCCUCUCCUCCACAAAGGUGUCGCGGAAGAGCUUCUCCAUAUGCAUCAACCACUUCUCCACGAUUCAGUGGUCGACUUUCUCCCCGUCGAAGAUCCUGGGGUUACACCUCCUGAACUCGCCGAGCCGAUCCAUAAGUCGGUCCCGCUUGGCCCCCUCGGCCAUCACGGGGAAAGUUGCCCUCGCUGUAGGUAUCUGAGCCAGUGGUGCCGCAACUAUCUCCUCCCGUGGUGCGGUCGUCGGUGCCGCACGUGAAGAACUGGGCACAGGGGACUGCGCCCUCGGCGCGACAUCCACUACGAGUACUGGCGGUGUGGGAACCUGGGUCUCCCUAGAAGCUGCCGCCUGCUGUAGCAAGAGGUCCUCUAGAUGCUUUAUCCGUGCCUCCUGCCGCUGAGCCACCUCGGCCUUUCGCUGCGCCGCCACCGCCUGCUGUGCCACAAGAUCAGUGAGGACCGCAAGUUGAGACCUCAAGUCGCAGACCUCACUAGAUCCGGAAGUAGCGGAGGUCUCGACCUCCUCGAGGUGUGCCGCAUCAUCCGCUCCAGCAGAUUGGGAGCUUGUAAUCGGCAUCGUCACUACAAAGCAUAAAAGCGCAAGUUAGUAACCUGCGCUAUCGCAACCCCACUCAAGAUAACCGGACCCCAAAUUAUGCGAAAGUAAGGAAGCAUUCUUCACUACUAACUCCCGAUGUUACGUUAUUGGCCGCCAACGUAACCCUCCGCGAAGUUAGAAGCCAUAUACUUCAGUCAAACUCGAACUUUUCGGAGUUGUCAAGAUACCCAAUCAAGAUACUUUCGCCUACAAAUCAAAUAGACCUCGUCUCUCACGAGCCUAUUUCCUAUAGUCCGACCGACCUAAGGUUUGCUAGGUCCCCUAAGACUCAACCCUAGGCUCUGAUACCAAAUUAAUAUGUCACGCCCCGGGACCCGGCAUAGGCCCGCCCGGUGCGUGCCCAGACCCACCAUAUGCUUGCACAUAUAAGACGUCUACAACAAAAUAGAUAUGGAAGCAAGAAGAAAUAAAGUCAUUAGAGAUAUCAGAGCUACUAACAACAAGUAGAGAAAGGGGGAAAGUAAACUACUAAACAUAAAGAUAAAGUCAGUACAAAAGUCAUCACAAAAGUACUAUAAAAAAGGUGGUCUCUAUACAAGGUACAACUCUCAUCCUCUCCCAAAAGAAAACAAAGAGGAGGUGGACUACCUAUCGAACGUCCCUCGCUCACAAGCUAGCUCGUGGCGAUUCCCUUUCCGCGGUCCCUAGCCUCGCCCGUAGUGGAAGGCUUUGAAAUAAAAACAAGAAACAGAGGGCGUGAGAACUAUAAUUUAUAGUUCCCAGUGGGCAAUUACUAACCUCAGCACUAAGCACCACUAGGCCCCAAAAGAAAAGGAUAAGAUGCCGCAAGUAAACAUGAUGUCAAUGUGUUGUACAUCUACUCUAUCAAAAAUGAAGUAUGUCCAUGGCAUGACUAAUAUAUCCCAACAUAACGAGCAAGUAGAUAUCAUAAUCCAAUAUAUCAUUAUGUAAUGAAUAUGCUCUAUCAUAACAACCAAGUAUACUAUGAUGCAACAAGUAAACUAUCAAGUAUACUACAUGUCCCAACGCUAUGCUGCAAGCAUGUCAAGGUAAUUCAACUACUACUCCCUAUCUAGUAGUGAUUAACUUUUACAAAUUGAUGUCAUUGUCCAAUCUUGUUUUGGGACCUACACAAGUGUAGUCUAGCUUGUGCCGCCUAAGUGUCGGUGGUAGCUCUAGCAUUCCUACUCUAGGAAUGAGUCUAUCCCUCCCGACCCCGUAGGUUUCUCGAUGCCGCACGAGCUAAUAUAAGCCGCGUAGGCCAACUCCGGAGUGCCGGCUUGUGGGGAGCGACCCUCACAAGCGUGUGCGAAUGAGCACAAAUGGCAAGCAAGCGUAGUCAAUGUCUCAAGUGUCCAAUCAUUAUGUCUCUAAUAUGGUCAAAGCCACUAGCAACCCAACGGUCUAGUUCUAUGUCUCAAAGUGAUGUCCCAACACUCACCUUGCUUAGUGCCUCUUUAUGACAGUUAAGCAUUAUGAUAACCCACGUACAAUCCACAUUCUAUGUCCCUUCAUGACACUAGUACUAGGUUCACACAUAACCCGAGCUCAAUGCCGCUUUAUGAUAUUAGCUCCAAAUUUUUCCAUAACAGUCUAGUCCGAUGCCUCUUUAUGGCAUUAGCUAUCUUUUAUGUCUCUAACAUGCAUAGGUAUAAGUGCACUCCACAAUGCUCAUUUUCGUUGUAAGAAACAUGGUCCCAAUUCCAACAUAAGAAUGCCAAAUGCUAGUAUAAGCCUCACAUGCAACUCUCUACUACAUAGAGGUCCGAAAGUUCAUUGUACAUGACAUAGGGAUGUUAAGCAUUCUAAAAUUCACAAUAAAUACAUUUAGCAUGAAAAUGCAUGAAUUUCCACUUUACGAAGUAUAAAUCACCAAAUAUGAGCAUUUCUCAUAUUGUAGGCUAGGUCAAACCCACCGAAUAACGCGUAACCCUUCGUUUGCUCCAACGAAGAUGUCCACUAAGCUCCUAGCACCCUAGAAGCAACAAAAAGUGAGCUACAAGGAGUAAACGAAUAAAUACUAGCUCAAUCAUUAACCAACUAGACAAAAGGGCCAAAAUCUCACCUAUAGUGAAGAAAUCCCUCUUCAAAGCUCAAAUGGAAGUCAAAUGUCACGCCCGGGUAUCAGCGGAAGCAUAUCCGGCACGUGCACAGACCCGCCAUACACCUGCAGUAUAUAAGGCGUCUACAAAGAAAACAUGUCGAUAGAAGGAAAACGUAGAAGUAUCCUAUCCUGAUAUCAGAGCAAGUAUAAGUCUAUAAUACCAUCAUCAGAGGAACAACGAGUAUACAACCCAAAUCUAAACAUCAAAGAGCAAAAUCAAAACUAAAAUCCCUGAUUCAAACUACUCAUAUACAUCACAGGGUUACUCAAAAUACAUGUACAAUGGUAGUCUCUCUAUACACGGGUACAUCACCAUCGGCCGUGGCACGAGUAGCAAGGUGAUCAACUAGCAAACAUCAAUCUAUGUCUAGCUAGACGCGACUCCCUUGCCGCGAUCCCUAGCCUCUCCUGUAGGUGGCUAUGUAAAAACAAGAAUAAAAAGGGCGUGAGAACUAUUAUCCAAUAGUUCCCAGUGGGUAAGUCGCCAGUCUCGGCGAAUUACACCACUAGGCUCAUGAUGUACUGAAUGAAAGUAAAAGUAGUAAUUGCAUGAUAUAUCUAUACUAUUAACAGGUAAUCAAUAUGUAAUCCUACUUUCUGCAGUAAUGAAUCAACUGAAUAAUAAAAGCAUAGCAACUAUUGUAAGCAUGAACAUAACAUGAACGUGUAAGUGAAUACUGUACACUAUAACUGAUAAUCAUUCAUUACUGUCAUUUCGAACUUUAAUUGCAUUCAUAAGGACCUACACAAGGUAGUCCAGCUUGCACCGCGCCUAAUGGCCCCGUGGUAGUAUACACUCUCCACCGCAAUCCACUUCGGCACCCAAUCCCGCACGGGCGAGCAUCUGUCGUAUAGGCCAAUUCCGGAGUGCCGGCUUGUAGGGAGCUACCCUCACAAGCGUGUGCGAAUGAGCACGAUGGCAAGCAAGCAAAGUCCAUAGCCCAAUAUGUCUCAAUCAUCAUGUCACGUAGUACACUCUGUUCUCACUCUCGAUCUAUUGAUCGAAAUUCUCAAUAUGAUAAACAAUGAAACUUGCUAGUAUCCACUAGAUUAGUAACACAUAAAAGUAAUGCCAAUUUUACAUAUUGCAUUAGAAACUUCUCACUAUUCAUAUACUAUCAAUAGGGUCAAGAGAACGUAGUUGUUCUCUACUUUAUAGAAGCAUAAUAAACUUAUCUCUUGGUUAUUCAAUUGAACUAAACAAGAAUACUUUAGUGCAUGAAUACUUUAUGCAUGAAUACUUUUAUGCAUGAGUUCUCUCUACUUCAUAGAGGUUUCAUUACAAUAUCUCAACCGAUGCGGCGAUGAUGUUUCAAAUCCUUAUCAAUCACAUAAUCAUAAAAUGCACCUAUGUACCAAAUCUAUAGUAACAUAUAGAACAUAGGGGAGUUUCACUUGCUCUGGUUAGGUCAAACCCACCUAGCACUAAGCUCGAUCCAGCCCCAACUGAGUCCCGAAAUUCAGCUCGCUAGGUCUCAAACCUACUGAAAACUGAGUAUCAAAAUCCCAUUGAAGCAAUGGCCAAAAUGUCUGAAAUCGGCAAAAUUCUCACUUAGUACAUAGCAAUAACUUAAAUCCCUGUUUUGGUUCACUUUAGUACCUCAAGUUUAACCUCCAAAAGCUCUCACAAGUUAGUCGAAGAUAAUCCAAUGGUCGUGUCACGCCCCGGGACCGAUACCAAUUUGGGCCGGCCUGAGCACGUCAAACAGACGCCGAACGGACAGAGUUUCCCCUAUCUGCCCAAGGCUCAUCACCUGUAUAUUUUCAAAUAAGAAGUGCACUAGCGGAAGCAUACACAAACGGCUUACACGAGGGUAAGCAAUAGCCAUGAGUGAAAGAAAGGAAAACUAACAUUCAUUUUGUAUUAUGAUUCACUUUAGAUCAUAUACAUUACAUCCAACUUCUACAUUUUUGAUUCUUUACAUUUCAUUACAACAUUUCAUCAUUUCCUUCGUACAUCACAUUUACCUCAAAAGAGAGCUUUACAUUCUUUUCUUUACAUCAUUAAUCAUCAAAUACAAAAGAUGAACAUAGGGUACUCUAUUAGUAAAAUGUAAACCAAACUCAAUUCUGGUGGCCUCUAUUUACUGUGCGAUACCUUUACCGCAGUCGCUGGCCGGCUCGCUCGGUCCCGGCUUUAUAGAAUAGUGGGGUGAGAACUACAACAAAGUUCCCAGUGGGUUUGGCCCCAAUCUCACCGACUUUUCCACUAGGACUAACUCAGGCAUAAUAGAAAGGAUAAGCAAAAUAUAGUAACCAAUCUAUAACAUGAUGCUAAUAUGCCUAAACAAU